UUUUUUUUUUUUUUUUUUUUUUUUUGUGUGUGUGCGCACACACAUAUAUAAUCAAAAUAUGAAUGAACAAAUGGUGUGUGAAAGGUAGGACUUUAUGCUAAAAGAAAAAGUUAUACUAAAAAAAAUUCAAAAGAAAUUUGUGAGAAAUUUAAAAUUACAAUAAGCAUCUUUCUGUAGGUGAGCUAUUCGUAUUUCCAAAAGCUGAAAGGAAAUCCCCAGAUGAAAAUGACAAAAGGGUCUUCAAAGUUCGAGGAAAAUAAAAUAUUAGUUAGAUGCUAAUUUGAAGCAUUGAAAAAAAAAAUACUAUAAAUUCCAGACAAAAAACUAGUUCCAAAAUGCAAUAUAAGUGUAUCAUCACGAAAAGUGCAAAUUAUGAUCCGAUUCAUAUGUGCAAGUUUUUUUUUUUUUUUUUUUUUUUUGAGAACAUAAAAAUGUUAAGAGAAUAUUUUUGUACAGAAGAGGAUAAAACUUUUAACUUUGUUGAUUGAUACAAUUAUUUAUGCAUCGGAGACAAUAAAUACAAAAACUUUAUUAGAAAAAAUUACGCAGUCGAUCCAGAUCAAUUGUACAACGUUACUUAAAACCCAUUUUAUUGCACUUUUGAUGCAGCCUUAUGGCAGAGAUUUAAAAGUUUCUACAAAAAGAGUGGGCUCAAAUUUGGGCCACUGGUCUUGUUUAGCAAGAAGGGCCCGUUGAAACCCAAGAAAAGAGAAGAAAAGAAGGACCAAGCUUUUUACCAAAUGCAAGACGUCUUCAAUUCAAGUCUUGCAGUUGUGAAUUGUACUCUUUAACGACUCAUUACAAACUAAAUGCCCGUAUCGAUUGCAAGUUUUUGAAAUUUUUAUACUAAAAUAUACUAUAAUGUUGUGAUAUAUGUAAAGUAAAAAAUUGAUCGAAAAAUAUAUCAAGAAAAUUUUUCUGCAAGAAUUCACAAUUCAGACUCUAUCAAUUAGUUAUCCCAAUUAAAAAAAAAAAUGGUUCUUUCUUCUUGAGAGCCGAAAUCCCCUUGGUGGAUGUCUUAGAUUUCGAAAAACAUUGUACCACCUUUUUUAGAAUGCUUUAGCCUUCUUGCCAAAAACACAAGAUUUAGUCUCGUUCUCUUCAGACAUAUACUAAAAUCAAAGCAAUCACUGUAGGAUUAAGGAUUCGUCGGAGAUUGAGCUUCCCUUAAUAUUUUUUCUUCCAUUUUUCACAAAUCCUGCUUCAAUGGAGCCAAAAGAAAGGAAAAACACAGAAAUCACCUAACCCUACGUUUUAACCCGACUGCUUUUUAUAGCUGUGUUUCGAUCUACUUUAGUUCAGCUUUGCUUUCCCGCUUUAUGCUCAUUUUAGUUUAGAGUCAUUGAUUUUCUUUGGCUUGUGUGCUUGGACCUCAUUUAGUCUUCUUAUAAGUGUGUUUGCUAUCCUUUCCUUUUCCUGUUUGACAGAUCUGAGGCACCACAUAUGCAAAGUUGUGGGGGAAAAGUUAGCUAACUUAAAAAAGUAUGAAAAGUUUCGCUACUAAUAUGUGGGAUUUUGCCAAAACUUUGAAAGUUGUGAAGAUAGGAGUGAACUUAUUCCAAAUGAUUUUUGAAAACACGCAUGACAAAGAGAAAGUUUUGAAUGGAAGACUGUGGGUGUUUGAUAAUCAACCACUUGUUUUGCCUUGGAAAGAAAGUAUUGAAACAGAUGAGAGGGCUUUUAAGAAGACUUGGAUCUGGGUUCAAAUAUGGAACUUACCUAUUCAUUGGAUUACCAAGGAAGUGAGGAGAAAGAUUGGUGGGGUUUUUCUGUCAUCAAAAGAUGUUAUUAUACCUAAGGUGGGGAGCAAUGAAGGAAAGCAUGUGAAAAUUCUAGUCAAAAUAGAUCUAACACAACCUUUAAUUAGAGGAACUACUGUUAAAAUGAAUGGAAUAAUUAAAUGGAUUGAUUUCAAGUAUGAGAAAUGCUCGGAUUUUUGCUACUGUUGUGGUAUUAUGGGACAUAGUGAAAAAAAUUGUAAGGUGAGAGGAAGACCUAUUGAUGAGGAAGCUCAGUUUGGUGCUUGGCCUAGAGCCAGUACAACUAGGAGUCCGGCAAAAAAACAAAGUAUACCUAAACAUUCUGAAAAUGAUAAUACUAAUGAUGAAAGAAACUCUAAUAAGAAUGACACUAAAGAAAGACUGAUGUUGACUUGGAAGCCUUUUGAAUAUGACACUAGUGUUGAGGAACUCAGAGGGGAGAGGGAUCAGGGGGAUAGUAAUAUGGAAAAUGGGGAGAGUAAUGAAACAAGGGGUUAGGAAGAAAAACAUGAACUUUGUAGGAGAAAAAAUGAUACUAUUGGAAAAGUCACUAGUCAUUACUAAGACUAUAAAGGGAACAGAUAAGGGGGGACAAAGGAAAGCUACUCAGACACUAGUAAUAUCAUUUUCAAAAUAGGGUCUAGCCAAAAGAUUCAAAAUGAUAUUAUAUGGAUUGAUGGUGUGAAUGAAGCUACAUCAAGAUCUGAGAACAUAAAAAAAAAAAAAAAAUGCUUAGACCAAGUCAAUAUUAUAGGAAAGAAUACUAUAGGGAAUGUGAAAGAGAACAGAAAAGGAAAAUAUAAAAGAAAUAGGGGUUGGAAAAGGUUAGUUCAAGAAGUUAGUAUGAGGAGACCUCUAUUAGAAUGCAAUGGAAGAAGUAUUGAAAAAACAGAGUCCAGUAAGAGGAAGACAUUUAUUACAGAAAUUGAUUUGGAAAGUAAGAAGAUAGAGAUAAUAGAAUAGAAAAAGAGUGGGAGAAUGGAGUAUGAUAACACUGGGAUAUUUUUUCAGCAGGAGGUGGAGCCCUCCCUUAAUGGGGCUCCUAAUCACCAAUGAGAGUUUAGAUGUGGAACUGUCAAGGUGUUGGAAGUCCCUUAACAAUUCCCCAGUUAGAGGAGGUGGUUAAACUCCACUCCCUAUAGUUAAUAUUUCUGUCAGAAACCAAAAAUAAGAAAAGUUAUCUGAAUACUGUGAAGAUGAAACUGAAGUUUGAUAAGCUGUUUGUGAUAGACCCUAUAGAAAAAUCUGAGGGACUUGCUAUUAUGUGGAGAAUGGAACUGGGAGUGAAGAAAGUCUUGUUUAUUGAUUUACAAUUGAAGCGAUGAUAGAAAACCAAUACAUAAAUGAUGAUUGGUGGUUUAUUGGUGUUUAUGCCAAUACUAAGGAUCAUAUUAGAGAACAGCAAUGGAAAUUGAUUUAGCAAAGGAAGCAGAUUUAGGGAGCAAAAUGGGUACUAGCAGGAAAUAUGAAUGAUAUAACAACUAAUGAAGAGAAGUGGAGAGGUAAUAAAAGAUCAGAAAAGAGUUUAAGUGUUCUUACGAGCUUUAUAAGUAACAACCAACUUGUUGACAUUGGUUUUGAAGCUAGACCAUGGACUUGGUGUAAUAACUGGGGACAAGAAAGGGAUGUGAAAGGGAGACUAGACAGAAUUUUAAGCAACAAGGAAUGGAGAGCAAAACACAGGAAAACUAAGUGUAACCAUAUCCAAAAUGAAGCCUUAGAUCAUUGAAUGUUAUCGCUUGACACAGAACCAAGAGAAAGGAAAUAGAAGAAAAGGUUUUAUUUUGACAGAAAGUGGCUUCAAUAGAAGGAAGUUGAAGGUGUAAUCAAAACAGUAUGGAACAAAUAGUAAUUGGGAUCUAGAUUCUUCGAACUCCAACAUAGAAUUAAAGAGUGCAGAGUUGCCUUGCUUAAUUGGAAUAGGACAUUGAACAUGAAUGCAAAAAAAGAGAUCUAGGAUUUAAAGUAGCAGAUCAGUGACAUGCAAAAUGGAGGGUUUCAAGAAAGAAAAGCAAAAAAUUUUUGAGCUGAAAAUGAACUUAAUAGAAGGAUUCAAAAAAGAAGAGAUGUUUUGGGGACAACAGGCAAGAAUAAAUUGGUUAAAAGAGGGGGAUAAAAAUACAAGCUACUUCUAUGCUGUAAUUGAAAGGUGAAGGAAAUGGAAUAAAUAUUUCAACUCUCCAGAAGAAAGAUGGGAACUGAUGUGCUACUAAUGAUGAAAUUGAAGAGGAGAUUUCAAGUUAUUUCUAGAAACUCCUCACUUCUAUCCAUGCAGGGCAAUUUGAUACAAUCUUACAGGGCAUUUCACUAUCAAUUACAAGCCAAAUGAACUCAAGGUUAACUAGACCUAUUUUUGAACUGGAGAUUAAAAAGGCGGUUUUCUCUUUACACCCUAAUAAGGCAUUAGGGCCGGAUGGUAUGACUCCAAUCUUCUUCAAAGGUUCUGGUACAUUAUUAAGCAAGAUAUGAUUGCAACUAUUAAUAGUUUCUUUCAUACGGGUAAUCUCUGAAAAGUGUUCAUGAAAUAGCUGUUACUUUAAUUCCAAAGAUCCAUUCUCCCUUUUUGGUUUCACAAUUUAGACCAUAAGUCUCUACAAUACGGUGCACAGAAUCCUUUCUAAAAUCCUGGUUAACAGAUUGAAACCUUUUUCUGAAACAUUGUAUAAGUCUUAAUCAAUUUGCUUUGAUCCUAGGUAAAUAGAUCAUAUAAAAGUGACAGGUGCCGAACCUGUGCAAUAAUAAAUACUAAAAAGUCCUAAUUACCACCACAAUUAAUUAUAGAACAAAUCCAAGUACUGGAGCUGGGGCCCUAGGUGUGCAAUGAGUUACUUGAUUCACCCUGUUCCCGAAGAGUUUGCUUGAUCCGAUAUACCAGAUUUGUCUAUAAAAAUAUUAAUUUUGCGUACAAUGGCAAUUAGAAUCGAUUUCACAGGGAGCGGGUAGGAAAUUAUUUCUUUCCAAAUUCGUAGAACGAAAUUGGGGGAUUUUCAAUGGAAAGCAAAUAAAAAUGAAAUAAAACAAACAAAAAUCAAAACUAACUCACAAAGCACAAUUCACUAAAAAUAGCAAUUAAUAAAAUUCCACCCAAAGGAUCUACUGCUCAGGCAUGGUCCAGUUAAAUGAUCAUCGAUGCAAAGAUAUUUCAUCCAUUCGUUACUAAGUUGGUUAUAGUUAUCAAUAAGCUCUGACAACCAGUUCUUCCUUACUUUUUUGACAGUCAAGGUGCGAUCAUUGACUGCUUCCCUAACCAGAUAACAACCUUAGGUACGACCGUAGGAAUUUAAUUAUCCAAUUGCAUUAAAGUUAGAAGAACCCAACCCUAACCAACAAGCACGCUAAUAGGGCUUAUUUAAGAUAGAUCUUACGUUUCCCCAUCAUAAAGCCAAUUAUGGUGGUCGCCACUAGGUAUCAACUAAACGAACAAUUACGGAUUCAAUUUAGUUAAUGUGACAGUAGGCUAUUAAAUUAAAUCAAAUACCCGACCGUUGAUAUUCAAUUAAUAAAAUACCCAUGAACAAUUAAUUCAGGAAACGCACGAAUAGCAAUAAAGUGGAAGAAAUAAUGAAUAUUUGAUUAAAUCUCACAGAUAUUAUGGACCGCGCGCCUCGCGUCAACCUUUGGGUAGAGGAGAAAAUUAGCCGCUCCUCAUCGUGUCAAUCCCGCGUGAUUUAAUUGAAUUCAUUCAAUUAAUUGCUGAAGAAUUUGGAAGAAGUGAAACAGCGAAGGAUAGGGAGACGAAAGCCCCUUAAUUCCUUUUCCUUAUUUCGGGUCCCUGCGGGAGCCGCAAGCACAAAAAAACAAAACCCACGAGGAAUUAUCCGGAGUAAGAGUAGAAGCAAAAACGUCUCCGUCGUACCAGGCCAAAAGCCAACAAGAAAAAUCUCCAAUAUCUGACCACUAGGGAAAUAGGAGAUGAAAAGCUAAUCUAAUUUCGGCCGAAUAAAAACAACAGCAAAGAAGAAGCGUCUGACCCCGAAUUGCAAAAAGUAAAUCUAAAGCUUAAGUAGUCAUCCCCUGAAUCUUGCUUUUUCCUCCUUUUUAUAGCCGCCGUCAGUAGUUUUCCUCCCAGGAAGAGGCUUUUGCCUAAGGGGCUCUGAUCCCACGCUCCAGGUUCACGUGGACCGGGGUCCGACUUUUCGAUAACGUCUAUCUUUUCUGGCGUGGCCACGCUCUGAGACGAAGGGUCUUCUGUAAAUUUGCCUCAAGAGAUUAUUUUUAAUGUCGACCACCUAUAAUUCAUACAAAUAUGAAAUAUGAGUUAAAUCUCAAUAUUUAGCACAAUAAAUAGCCAAAAUUAGGACAAAAUAACAGUGCAAACUGUGCCAAGUAACCGCUCUAUCAAAAGCAGUGAUUCUUGGAUAUAUAAAAGCAUCAGUAGUGCCAUGGAUUUAUUGAAGAGAGGGGCUAGAAAAAGAGUAGGGGACUGGAAAGAUAGAUGGAUUCCAAACAGAGGAAAAGGGAAAGUAUCAACUACUAGACUACCAAAUUAUGAAAUAAAAAGAGUGCAGGAAAUCAUCAAGGAUGAAAAAUGGAACAUGUCAAUGAUGAGAACUCUACUGAAUGAAAAAGACUGCAAGAGAAUUAGCAGAAUACCAAUAAGUAGCUAUAGGGGAAAAGACAAGGUGGUAUGGCCUUAUUCAUUAUCAGGGAAAUAUACUGUUGUUUAGAUUUUUGAUGUAUUUGGAAGUGUACAUCUACUUCUUUAUUGUUGAAUGUAUAUAUAAGAAAAAAAAACAUAACAACCAUGUUCACAUGACAUAACAACCAUGUUCACAUGACCUUUAAGCAUAACCCACUACAUUAUAACUGCUCCUAAACAUAUGCAACUGAUUUCCUAAAAAUAAGCAACAAACAAAACAUUCCUAAAGACUUGUUCUGCAGACUAAGGCACAUGUGCACAUCUCCAACAAAUCUCCUCCUUGCCUUAGUAUUUGCAAACACCUAACUUGAUUCUCAAUUCUUCAAAUCUUGCUUUUGAAAGGGCUUUAGUCAGCAAAUAUGCAAUCUGUUCCUUUGUAUUGCAAUAAAUCAGCUUGAUUUCACCUGCUCUCUGUUCUUUUCUUAAGUGAUACAGCUUGAUAUUAAAGUGCUUUGUUUUCUCAUGGAAAAUCGGAUCCUUUGAGAUUGCAAUAGUAGCUUGAUUAUCUACAAAAAUCUUUGUUGGCUCAAUCUGAUUCAUGUGCAAGUCUACAAGUAAUUUUCUAAUCCAAAUUGCUUGGUUCACCGUGGUAUUAGCUGCAAUAAAUUCUGCCUCUGCUGUACUUUGAGCAACCACAUCUUGCUUUUUUGAACUCCAUGAGAAAACACCUGAACCAAAGCUAAAACAAAAACCAGUUGUGCUUCUCAUGUCCUUAGUAAUACCUGUCCAAUCACUGUCAGAAAAUCCUUGGAGCUGGAAAUCAUGACGGCAAGAAUACUUAAUGCCAUAAUCUGUUGUACCUUUGACAUAUCUUAAAAUACAUUUAGUAGCUGCAAAAUGCACUUCACUGGCACAAUUCAUAAACCUUGACAUUAAGCUUACUGCAAACAUUAUAUCCGGUCUUGUAGCUGUGAGAUACAUCAAACAGCCGAUCAGACUCCUGUAUAGCCCUUUAUUAACUUUUUCUGCUCCAUCUUCUUUGCUAAACUUCUCCUUUUGAUUCAUUGACUGAUUCCUUUGCAGUCUUUCAUAUGAAAUUUCUUAAGAAUUUCCUUUGUGAACUUCUUUUGACAUAUGAAGACUCCAUCAUGACCUUGUUUUACCUCCAUUCCUAGGAAGUAGGUCAAUAAACCGAGAUCUGUCAUCUCAAAAGUUUUGAACAUCUCAGCUUUAAAUUCAUUCACUAGUUUCUCAUUACUUCCUGUAACAAGUAGAUCAUCAACAUAAACAGAUACUAUAGUUAAGCUAGCAUUUGAAUUCUUCACAUAUAAAGUGGCUUCACUUGGACUUUUAACAAUUUUUUUAUCCAAGACUUUGAAGAUAAUUGUCAAUUCUGCUAUACUAGACCCUGAGAGCUUGCUUAAGGCCAUAUAAAGCCUUCCUUAAUCUGUAAACUUUCUCCUCCUGUCAUUUAACAUGAAAUCCCUCUGGUUGUUCAACAUAGAUUUCUUCUUGAAGAUAACCAUUUAAAAAGGCUGACUUUACAUCCAACUGGUAAAGCUUCCAACCUUUUUGUGCAGCCAAGACCAACAACAUAGCGAAAGUUUCUGAAAAAUCUACCCCAAAAACUUGACUAUACCCCUUCACAACUAAUCUGGCUUUGUGUUUGUUCACAGAACCAUCAGCAUUGAAUUUGGUUCUGUAAACCCAUUUCACUCCAAUGAUCUUUCUGUUUUGAGGUUUGUCUACCAACUCCCAAGUGCCAUUUUUCUCGAUCAUACGCAGCUCCUCUCUCAUAGCAUCAAUCCAUUUGUCAUCUUUUUCUGCUUCCUGAAAUUUUGCAGGUUCAAAAACAGCAACAUUGCUUCUUUCAUAGAUAUCAGAUAGAGAUCUUGUGCCAUGAAUUGUGACAUCAUCUAUAUUGUCAUCAAGAUGAUGUGAAUAUACUGGCACCUGCUUUUCUAAUGAUUCCUCCCAACUCCAUUGUUUAUCUUCCAUAAAUUUGACAUCUCGACUUACAAUAAUUUUCCCAUUUUGUCGUUGGAAAAUUCUAUAAGCUUUGGAAGUGCUGCUAUAGCCAACAAAAAUACCUGCUUCUGCUUUCUUAUCAAGUUUGUAUCGUUUCACCUGAGACACAUAAGAAAAAGAGAGACAACAAAAAAUUUUCAGACUUUGUAAAUCUGGUUUGUAACCGAACCAGGCUUCAAACGGUGUUUUUCCUUAUACAGCUUUAGUUGGCAGCCUGUUUAACAGAAAAACUGCUGUACUUGUAGCUUCUGUCCAAAGCUUCUUUGGUAACUCCUUUUCAUAUAGCAUACACCUCGCCAUCUCCAUGAUGCUCCGAUUUUUUCUCUCACUUACACCGUUCUGUUGUGGAGUGUAAGGUGCUGUGAGUUGGUGUUCAAUACCUGUUUCCUCACAAAACUUGUCAAAGACUUCAUUUUUGUACUCUUUCCCAUUGUCAGACCUUAUUAUGCGCAAACUGCAAUUACUUUGAUUCUCCACAAAAGCUUUAAACUUCCAAAAUAUAUUAGGAACCUCAGCUUUGGAUUUGAGAAAAUAAAUCCAGCAAAAUCUGGUAUAAUCGUCUAUAAAAACAAUAUAGUAUUUACUACCAUUCAAAGAUGGAGUUGCCUGAGGUCCUCCAACAUCAGUGUGCACAAGUUGCAGCUUGUGUGAUGCUCUCCAGGCUGAUUGAGAAAAUGGUUUUCUUACAUGCUUUCCAUAUUGACAAGCCACACAAUCUGCUAGUUUAUCCUCCAACAACGCUACACCCUUUACAAAGUUAUUUUUCUGCAUAUAUAGGAGUCCAGCAUGAUGGAAAUGCCCAAGUCUUUUGUGCCACAAUUCUGCAUUGCUUACAUGACUUGCAAGUGCUGCGUGCUCAUCCUUCAUCAAAUUUAAGGCGAAACUCUUAGCUCUCAUCUUCACUUUAAACACAUUUUUGCCCCUUGCAUCCUUGAUCAAGCACCACUUGUCUUCAAAAAUAACUUUGAAGCCUUUUUCAACAAGCUGUCCAACACUCAGCAAGUUUUGAUCAAUGUCAGGCACAUAUAAAACAUUGGUGAUGUGUUUUAAACCUGUCAAGCUUUCAAUAGCAACUGUCCCUGUUCCCUUGAUUGAGAUAAACUCACCAUUUCCAAUUUUUACUUUGGAAAUGAGAGUCUUAUCAAUCUCUGUAAAAAGAGCUUGAUCAUUGGUCAUGUGGUUGGUGCAGCCACUAUCUAUCAACCAGGAAUCACUUGAGCUGUUGUUAGUGGCAAAACACGUAGCCACGAAGAGUUGUUCUUCCUCUUGUUGUUCUGUGGACACUCCUGCUAUUUCAAGCUGUUGCGAUUUGCAGACCCUCUCUAUGUGUCCCAUAUCGCCACACAUUCUGCACUUGAUAUCAGGCCUCCACCAACACCUUUUUGGCAUAUGGUUCGACUUCUUGCAAUAUGGGCAAGGUGAACUUGCAUCAUUUUUGUUGGCAUUGCUGGACUUGUUGCUCUUCUUUUUCUUCGUAAUUUUCUUGUCUUUGCCUCCUCUAGAACUUUCUGAUUUGGCUUUGAAUGCACCCUCUACAAUUUCUCUUUCCUUAUCAUUCUUCUUUGCUCUAGAGCCUGCAAAGCAUUCACCAACUCUGCCAAGGAUAUGCUUGAUAGAUCUUUAGACUCUUCCAAAGAAGAAAUUUUAGACUCGUAUUUCUCAGGUAAAGUGACAAAAAUUUUUUGGACGAUUCUCUCAUUAGAAAAGUCCUUACCUAACAGUUUCACCCUGUUAACAAUGCCUAGUAGCUUAUUGGAGUAGUCUUUGAUCGUUUCUGACUCCUUCAUCUUCAUCAUCUCAAACUCUCUGAUUAAGUUGAGCACUUGCAUGUUCUUGGUUCUUUCAUUGCCCUGGUACUCCUUCUUGAGGUAGUCUCAUAUGUCUUUGGCUGAUUCUAGGUUCAUGAUCUUGGUAAAUAUGGUGCUUGAAACGGCAGAGAAAAGACAUGCUUUAGCCUUUGACUUCCUUGUUUUUCUCUCCUUAUGAUUCUUCAUUUGUGCCACCGUGGGAUUUGCUGGCAGCGGUGGUACAUCAUAAUCUUCUUCUACAGCCUCCCAAAGAUCCAAUGCCUCAAGGUGGACUGUCAUCCUAACAGCCCAUGCUUGAUAAUUUUGGCCAUCAAAGACUGGUGGAUCAACAUGAUUGAAGAAUGAUUGAGUAUCAACCUCUAUUCUGAAAGUUUUCGUUUGUAUCACUCGAUCUUACAAGUCCCUCAAGAUGAAAGCUCUGAUGCCAAUUUGCUGUUUAGAUUUUUGAUGUAUUUGGAAGUGUGCAUCUACUUCUUUAUUGCUGAAUGUAUAUAUAAGAAAAAAAACAUAACAACCAUGUUCACAUGACCUCUAAGUAUAACCCACUACAUCAUAACCGCUCCUAAACAUAUGCAACUGAUUUCCUAAAAAUAAGCAACAAACAAAACAUUCCUAAAGACUUGUUCUGCAGACUAAGGCACAUGUACACAUCUCCAACAAAUACAAUAAAAACAGGCUAUGUAUUAGCUAAAGACAUACAACAGGAAAGAAGCAGAAAGGCUCAACCUGAUGAAGGAAGUAGCAGAAACGACCAAAAUACUGGUGUGUGGAAAUUUUUGUGGAGCCUUAAUAUAAAACAUGAACUGAAACACUUCAUCUGGAAGUGUCAUUGCAGAAUACUUUUAGUUAAUGAAGUCAUAAAGACAAGAAUUGGGAAAGGAGUGGAUACUUGUACAUGCUGUGGAGAGGGGUCAGGAACUUUGAAACACAUGUUAUUCUUUUGCAAACAUGCAGAAAUGAUUUGGAAGGCAGCCCCAAUCAGUUGGGAUGGAUUAAACAUGUUCAAACAAAAUAUUUGGCUCUGGUGGAACAGUCUAAUGGAGGCAAAGGCAAGAGAAGAGGGGAUGGAAUACAUUGUAUUGACAAUAGACAUUUUAUGGAAGAUAUGAAAAUCUAGAAACCACAUUCAAUUCAACAAGGAAAGAAAAUGUCCAGGAAUAGUGGCAAGCAAAGCAGUGCAAGAAUAGCAAGAAUAUAGAGCAGUGCAAAGAGAGGAAGAUGGGGAAACAGGAAAAAGUAAGAAGAAUUCUGAGGUUGAGGUCAAGUGGAAACCACCUACAAAUGGUUUCAUAUGUUAAACACUGAUGCAACUUUGGAUAAAAAACAAGAGAAGGCUAGAUGGGGAAUUGUAACAAGGAAUGAACAUGGAGAAGUAGUAUGCACUUGGGCUGGAAAUGAAAGCAAGGACAGUAAAGCUGAGAUUGAAGAAGCGGAUGCAAUCAGAACUGCAUUGACAAAGGCCAAAUAGGAAGGUUGGAGGAAGGUUAUAGUCCAAUCAGAUUGCAAAAAGGUGGUGGACAAGAUUGUAGAGAGUGGUACACUUGAUCCUGUGAUGGGAACAAUAGUUGAGGACAUACUUAGUUUUAUACAAAGUUUUAGCAAAUGACGUCUUUCCUUUAUCAAGAGAGAAGGUAACUAUGUUAGUCAUCAUUUGGCAAAAUUUGCCAUAAACCUGGUUAAGGAAGUUUGUUAGAGGAUUCUUUCCCUCUCUAGUUAAUCAACUUAACUAGAAACAAUGUAGGAGCAAUUACUCCAUCCUAGUAAUCCUUUGUGUUUGAAAUACAAAGCUAUUGUCAUUUGGUAAAAAAAAAAAAUAGUUAUCUCAAUCAAUUGAAAAAAUUAUGUCGAUAAUUAAUAAUAGAACACUUUGAAAGGCUACAUACAACGUAGAUUCUUUGUUGCAGAGAAAGAAAAGGUCCAACCCCCAUUAAUAUACGACGUGUCUUAGUCGUUUUUUUAUUAAAAAAGAAAAAGAAAAAGAAAGCCAUAUUGAAGGUGACCGAUUGUGAUAUUACUAGGCUAUGAAAAUUAGCAUUCAGCAAUGUGCUUGCAUUAAGAAUAGGAUAAAUUACCUUUUACCGCCGUGAUUUGGUGUUUUACCACAUAAAUUCCCUAUGAUUUAAAAAUUUAUAUAUGACCCUCUCAUAGUUUGGGUUAAUGUGUCACUGUUAGUUUUUCGUUCAAACUAACGGCAAAUAAUAAAAAAAUCAAAGUUAAACUAAUAAAAAGAUAAAUUUACCCUUUCAUUACUUCUUUUUUUCCUCUAAACAUAAAAAAGAAGAAAUUGAAAUAAAAAAUAAAAAUAAGAACUAGAAAAUACCAUUAAAGAUUCGGUUUAAAAACAUAUAAUGAUAUUUGAAGUAAAAAAAGAUUUGAUAUUUUUUAUUUCUUAUUUAUUUGUUUUAUGUUACUGUUCCAUCUUUUUCGUUUCUUAUUUAUUUUUUAUUUCUCUUUCAUCACUUUGAUAUUUGGAGAAAAUUAAGAUUUUGUAGGCUAAAGUAUAGAUUUUCAAAAUCAUCUAUUCUCUUCCAAAAAAAAAAAAAAGAGAGAGAGAGAGUGAGAGAAAGAAAAGGGGAAAAGGAAAAAAAAAGUGAAAGGAUGAAUUGUCAAUUUAUUACUUGACUUUGAUAUUUUAUUAUUGACCAUUAGUUUUAACGGAAAAACUAGCAAUAACACUUUAAUCUCAAUUAUGAGAAGAUUAUAUAUAGAUUUUUUUAACCAUAAGGGGGUUGCAUGGUAAAACACCAUACCACACCAUGGGGAAGGGAAUAAAGGGUAAUUCAUACUUAAAAAUAUAGUGGUGAUUAAGCAUACAGAACAAGGAUAUGACUCCACAGCCAUAUUCAUGUAAUCUAAAAUUUUGGCUGGGAUAUGAGAAUUCACAUUUACUUUCACACCUUGUAUUUAUAGUUACUGGGAUGCCGGGAAACAGCAGAACAAUCCCUGCAUUGAUUCAUUUGCUUGGUCUAACAUAUGCUCUAUUUAUAGGUUCAUCUGCAUGCAGUUUGGUACUGCUUCAGGGGUCAGAAACAUGGAUAGACACAAUUAUGACACAAGAUUUGAGUAUGGUUGCCAAAUUUUCACAAGAAAAGGUCCAUUUUGCAUCUGAUCUUUUAAAACCAGUCCAUGAGAUUUGCAUUAUAAACACAUAAUUCAGUAAUCUGUGAGAUACUGAGACAGCCUCCGAAUAGACCAAAAGCUGUGUCCACAAGAUGCUUAAUAGAAAAACAAAAUGUCAGAACAGGUCAAUCUAGUUCCAGGUAGCAUUACAUAGAAGAGUUUCGAACAGAAUUUGAUGCACUAAUAAUGACACAAUCUCAGCAGCCUCAGCAACCUGUUAGAACAUUGAACAAACAUCAUUAGAUACGUUGAAAUGAAAAAAGAUACACAAAAAGAGAAGAAAAAUGUCACCACAAUAAAUAGUAUGAUAGGUUGUAAUUUUAUCAUUUAUUUUAUAAUUAAUUUCCCCUAUUACUUAACCCAAUGUGAAUUAAUUAUUAGAUUCUACUCACUUUUCGUAAUUUGCAUUUAUUUCAGGGAGUAGAAUAAAAAUGUCACAAUCAAGGCCAAUUUGACGGUCAUCGGGAAAGAGUUCAAAUAGCAGGCAAUCAAGGGCAUUCUUGGAACAAGGAGAUGCAUGACCUUUUUGGUAAUUUUGACCGAAGACAGCAACUAGAAAAAGGGAAAAGAAAGCAAACCUGAGGGCCUUCUUUUUCUCGGGUGCGGCGGACGCCGCACAGGAGGAGUAGCAAUUAGAAUAGGAAUUAAGAUUGCAGGAGGAGAGCACUAUCCUCUGGUCUUCUUUAGUUUUUUCGUCUUGUAGUAUAGCUUUGAGCUUUGACUUUUCUUUUGGUUGGUAGUAGUUCCUUUCCCCUGCGUAUGUCAGGAAGAAUUAGUAACAAGCAAUCACCUUUUGUAGCCUCGUUUUCCUUUCCUGAAGCGAAUUGGACUUUUCCAAGACGCAGACCAUGGUCGCGACUCUUGUUUUUAUUUCCUGUGGAUUUUGUUCAUUAACUAUGAACUAAAUUCCUUUUUCUAGUCAAGGCCUAAAAUUGUGAGAUCGAUUUAAUUUAAUCUUUUUCUUUUAUUUAUUGGUAUUCGCAUAUUCCUUGAUUGCUAUGCUUAUGGUUAUUUAAUUAAUUGACUGUCUAGGAUCCAGAUAAUUAGUUGAUUGGGUAAUCUAUUGUCAAUUAGGGCAUUAAAUCCGUAAUUGUUUAAUUGCUCUAAAAUAGUGACAACUGGCACGAUUGAGUUUGUGUCAGGGGAAUACGCGGGCUAAUCUAAAAUAACCCUGGUAGUGUGUUAUUUGGUUAGAAUAGGGCUCCUCUAAUACGUAAGGCAAUUGGGGAAUUAAAUUCUACGGGCGUACCUAGGAUUAUUUCUCAAUUAGAGCAGUGAUUAACAGGCGUACCUUGAUCACCGACACAGUAAGGAUGGGUUGACUGCCAUUGCUUGUUUGGUAGUUAUAACCUAUUUAUUAGUAAAUAAUUAGAAUUGCCUUUGCUUAUCGAUGAUCAAUUAGGUGAACCAUUGCUGAAGUUAUUUCUUGGCUAGAUUCUUAAUUAUCAUUCAUUUGAUUUUAGUAAUUUGUUAUUUAAUUUUUAGUAGUUUCUUAGAUUUUAUUUGAAUUUAUUUGAUUGUCACUUUCUGCACAAAAACACCCCCUUGUCACCGUGAACUUGAAAAGAAACAAUUACUCCCAGUCCCUGUGGAUUCGACCCUGCUCACCACUAUCUACAGAAAUUAUUUUUAGUUUGAGCAGAUAUUUAUUAUUGCACAGGCUGACGACCUGUCAUAGUAGAACAACUAGAAACUGGUUUUCCACUUCUCAAUGCUGCUCUGCACAUAGUAUCACCACAACUCUACACAAUCUUCUUCCCGUUUUGAAUAAAGUAGGGCUCUCAACCACUAUCUCCAACAUAAAUCAGACCAGUAAAUCCAUUUUCCUUUUCCUGGUCCAAGAACUUCCACAAGAAAAAGACUUCAGGCCUCCAAAUGUGUAUUUAUAUGCUCUAUGGUGAACAAGUUCCUGCUACAUGACAAUUAAAGACGAAAUUUGCCAUCCUAAACGCAGCAAUUGUUUAACACCAAAACACAUGCAAUUUGCUGUAACAGAGUGGACAACUAUGUUAGUUCUUUAAUCAUCUAAAAUCAGGAUAAAGGGACACUUCUAAAGAGUUGGAUACUGGUACUUAGGUAUGAUGGACAUUCUAGGAAAUAUACAAAUUAUGUACAUCGAUUGUUGUUUACUUGUUAACGAACAGGGCCAUUUUGCCUUGGGAGCUUUUCAGAUUUCAUUUAUACAAGGGAAAUUCAGAAUUUUAGAUAGGUCUUCUGUCUCUCUAACAUGAAAGUCCUAAAGUUUUCCACUUCACUUCUCUCCUCCCCCUUCACCAUCAACAUCCACUGACAAAAAAGAAAGUACCCAAAAAAUUGUUGAAGUGCCCCAAAUGGAUCCCAUACCAGUACCAGUGUCAAGUUAUGUCGACACGGGCACACUGGGGUAAAACAAAAAGCUGGAGUAACAUAGGUGGAAGGGUGAUUUUCAGGUAGCUAAUCUGUUAGUGUCACCAGUUUGACAAGCAUGGUGCAGCUUAUACCCAUUAUGGCGACAAUGGCUUUCACCCUGACAAAAUUAUAAAUAACUCGAUGACCAUGUCUUGGAAAAUGUUUUGCAUUGCUUGGGCCUCCAAGAAAGAUAGAUGGUGAGAGUGAUAGCUGGAAAUUUCAAUCACAUAAUAAAGCUCACUUCUCUCUUCCUUUCUAUCUGGAUCGGAAGAAUCAAAUCCCUACGCCACGGAACUGGUCAUGAAAAAAUGAAUGUAUAUUAGGAACCACAUAUACCCCUCAUCUCAACACACAUGAUUUAUUUCUACAGCCAAGCCCCACAAAAACUUUGGUUUUAAGAGGACAGAAAGCAAACUCCUACAAAAAAAGGUUUCAAGAUUAUAAUCGUGUUUGAAGUUACUGAAGACAAGAGUGACGAAUCCAGCUAAAGCUUUUCUGAAUAAUGCCAUCAGCGAAACCUCUUCAAACAGGCUUGAGUAUCAUUCUUCAACGCAAUUAUAGCUACCAAACCAGUAACACGCCAACUUGCACUCACAGCAGUUUUGUUACCAGCAAGUAGCCAGUAGGGUUUCAGACUUCAAUAACAGUACAAGAGCUGCUAAAACACUAUGCAAUGAAAGUAGCUAAUAAGCAACUGUUAAGAAUUGAACUUUGUUCCAACCUCGAAAGGAAAAGAUAUCAGAAAUUAUACUAGUCAACAACUGUUAUUUGCCUUUAUCUCUCUCUGCCCCUAACUCAAGCAUACUUCCCAUUCAACUGAAGUUCAAACUCAAUAAAAGCCCAGAUUCCAAGAACUACAGCUUAUUGUUAAAUGUGAGUAUUAUCCUCAGCUAUCUUUUCUCUGGAAAAGCUGUUUAAUCAGAUUCGUUCCCAGCUGGGGAUACAAUGUGAAUUAAUUAUUAGAUUCUACUCACUUUUCGUAAUUUGCAUUUAUUUCAGGGAGUAGAAUAAAAAUGUCACAAUCAAGGCCAAUUUGACGGUCAUCGGGAAAGAGUUCAAAUAGCAGGCAAUCAAGGGCAUUCUUGGAACAAGGAGAUGCAUGACCUUUUUGGUAAUUUUGACCGAAGACAGCAACUAGAAAAAGGGAAAAGAAAGCAAACCUGAGGGUCUUCUUUUUCUCGGGUGCGGCGGACGCCGCACAGGAGGAGUAGCAAUUAGAAUAGGAAUUAAGAUUGCAGGAGGAGAGCACUAUCCUCUGGUCUUCUUUAGUUUUUUCGUCUUGUAGUAUAGCUUUGAGCUUUGACUUUUCUUUUGGUUGGUAGUAGUUCCUUUCCCCUGCGUAUGUCAGGAAGAAUUAGUAACAAGCAAUCACCUUUUGUAGCCUCGUUUUCCUUUCCUGAAGCGAAUUGGACUUUUCCAAGACGCAGACCAUGGCCGCGACUCUUGUUUUUAUUUCCUGUGGAUUUUGUUCAUUAACUAUGAACUAAAUUCCUUUUUCUAGUCAAGGAGCAACGGAUGCUUUGGGUCGCCUAAAAUUGUGAGAUCGAUUUAAUUUAAUCUUUUUCUUUUAUUUAUUGGUAUUCGCAUAUUCCUUGAUUGCUAUGCUUAUGGUUAUUUAAUUAAUUGACUGUCUAGGAUCCAGAUAAUUAGUUGAUUGGGUAAUCUAUUGUCAAUUAGGGCAUUAAAUCCGUAAUUGUUUAAUUGCUCUAAAAUAGUGACAACUGGCACGAUUGAGUUUGUGUCAGGGGAAUACGCGGGCUAAUCUAAAAUAACCCUGGUAGUGCGUUAUUUGGUUAGAAUAGGGCUCCUCUAAUACGUAAGGCAAUUGGGGAAUUAAAUUCUACGGGCGUAUCUAAGAUUAUUUCUCAAUUAGAGCAGUGAUUAACGGGCGUACCUUGAUCACCGACACAGUAAGGAGGGGUUGACUGCCAUUGCUUGUUUGGUAGUUAUAACCUGUUUAUUAGUAAAUAAUUAGAAUUGCCUUUGCUUAUCGAUGAUCAAUUAGGUGAACCAUUGCUGAAGUUAUUUCUUGGCUAGAUUCUUAAUUAUCAUUCAUUUGAUUUUAGUAAUUUGUUAUUUAAUUUUUAGUAGUUUCUUAGAUUUUAUUUGAAUUUAUUUGAUUGUCACUUUCUGCACAAAAACACCCCCUUGUCACCGUGAACUUGAAAAGAAACAAUUACUCCCAGUCCCUGUGGAUUCGACCCUGCUCACCACUAUCUACAGAAAUUAUUUUUAGUUUGAGCAGAUAUUUAUUAUUGCACAGGCUGACGACCUGUCAUAGUAGAACAACUAGAAACUGGUUUUCCACUUCUCAAUGCUGCUCUGCACAUAGUAUCACCACAACUCUACACAAUCUUCUUCCCGUUUUGAAUAAAGUAGGGCUCUCAACCACUAUCUCCAACAUAAAUCAGACCAGUAAAUCCAUUUUCCUUUUCCUGGUCCAAGAACUUCCACAAGAAAAAGACUUCAGGCCUCCAAAUGUGUAUUUAUAUGCUCUAUGGUGAACAAGUUCCUGCUACAUGACAAUUAAAGACGAAAUUUGCCAUCCUAAACGCAGCAAUUGUUUAACACCAAAACACAUGCAAUUUGCUGUAACAGAGUGGACAACUAUGUUAGUUCUUUAAUCAUCUAAAAUCAGGAUAAAGGGACACUUCUAAAGAGUUGGAUACUGGUACUUAGGUAUGAUGGACAUUCUAGGAAAUAUACAAAUUAUGUACAUCGAUUGUUGUUUACUUGUUAACGAACAGGGCCAUUUUGCCUUGGGAGCUUUUCAGAUUUCAUUUAUACAAGGGAAAUUCAGAAUUUUAGAUAGGUCUUCUGUCUCUCUAACAUGAAAGUCCUAAAGUUUUCCACUUCACUUCUCUCCUCCCCCUUCACCAUCAACAUCCACUGACAAAAAAGAAAGUACCCAAAAAAUUGUUGAAGUGCCCCAAAUGGAUCCCAUACCAGUACCAGUGUCAAGUUAUGUCGACACGGGCACACUGGGGUAAAACAAAAAGCUGGAGUAACAUAGGUGGAAGGGUGAUUUUCAGGUAGCUAAUCUGUUAGUGUCACCAGUUUGACAAGCAUGGUGCAGCUUAUACCCAUUAUGGCGACAAUGGCUUUCACCCUGACAAAAUUAUAAAUAACUCGAUGACCAUGUCUUGGAAAAUGUUUUGCAUUGCUUGGGCCUCCAAGAAAGAUAGAUGGUGAGAGUGAUAGCUGGAAAUUUCAAUCACAUAAUAAAGCUCACUUCUCUCUUCCUUUCUAUCUGGAUCGGAAGAAUCAAAUCCCUACGCCACGGAACUGGUCAUGAAAAAAUGAAUGUAUAUUAGGAACCACAUAUACCCCUCAUCUCAACACACAUGAUUUAUUUCUACAGCCAAGCCCCACAAAAACUUUGGUUUUAAGAGGACAGAAAGCAAACUCCUACAAAAAAAGGUUUCAAGAUUAUAAUCGUGUUUGAAGUUACUGAAGACAAGAGUGACGAAUCCAGCUAAAGCUUUUCUGAAUAAUGCCAUCAGCGAAACCUCUUCAAACAGGCUUGAGUAUCAUUCUUCAACGCAAUUAUAGCUACCAAACCAGUAACACGCCAACUUGCACUCACAGCAGUUUUGUUACCAGCAAGUAGCCAGUAGGGUUUCAGACUUCAAUAACAGUACAAGAGCUGCUAAAACACUAUGCAAUGAAAGUAGCUAAUAAGCAACUGUUAAGAAUUGAACUUUGUUCCAACCUCGAAAGGAAAAGAUAUCAGAAAUUAUACUAGUCAACAACUGUUAUUUGCCUUUAUCUCUCUCUGCCCCUAACUCAAGCAUACUUCCCAUUCAACUGAAGUUCAAACUCAAUAAAAGCCCAGAUUCCAAGAACUACAGCUUAUUGUUAAAUGUGAGUAUUAUCCUCAGCUAUCUUUUCUCUGGAAAAGCUGUUUAAUCAGAUUCGUUCCCAGCUGGGGAUACAAUGUGAAUUAAUUAUUAGAUUCUACUCACUUUUCGUAAUUUGCAUUUAUUUCAGGGAGUAGAAUAAAAAUGUCACAAUCAAGGCCAAUUUGACGGUCAUCGGGAAAGAGUUCAAAUAGCAGGCAAUCAAGGGCAUUCUUGGAACAAGGAGAUGCAUGACCUUUUUGGUAAUUUUGACCGAAGACAGCAACUAGAAAAAGGGAAAAGAAAGCAAACCUGAGGGUCUUCUUUUUCUCGGGUGCGGCGGACGCCGCACAGGAGGAGUAGCAAUUAGAAUAGGAAUUAAGAUUGCAGGAGGAGAGCACUAUCCUCUGGUCUUCUUUAGUUUUUUCGUCUUGUAGUAUAGCUUUGAGCUUUGACUUUUCUUUUGGUUGGUAGUAGUUCCUUUCCCCUGCGUAUGUCAGGAAGAAUUAGUAACAAGCAAUCACCUUUUGUAGCCUCGUUUUCCUUUCCUGAAGCGAAUUGGACUUUUCCAAGACGCAGACCAUGGCCGCGACUCUUGUUUUUAUUUCCUGUGGAUUUUGUUCAUUAACUAUGAACUAAAUUCCUUUUUCUAGUCAAGGAGCAACGGAUGCUUUGGGUCGCCUAAAAUUGUGAGAUCGAUUUAAUUUAAUCUUUUUUAUUUAUUUAUUGGUAUUCGCAUAUUCCUUGAUUGCUAUGCUUAUGGUUAUUUAAUUAAUUGACUGUCUAGGAUCCAGAUAAUUAGUUGAUUGGGUAAUCUAUUGUCAAUUAGGGCAUUAAAUCCGUAAUUGUUUAAUUGCUCUAAAAUAGUGACAACUGGCACGAUUGAGUUUGUGUCAGGGGAAUACGCGGGCUAAUCUAAAAUAACCCUGGUAGUGCGUUAUUUGGUUAGAAUAGGGCUCCUCUAAUACGUAAGGCAAUUGGGGAAUUAAAUUCUACGGGCGUACCUAGGAUUAUUUCUCAAUUAGAGCAGUGAUUAACGGGCGUACCUUGAUCACCGACACAGUAAGGAGGGGUUGACUGCCAUUGCUUGUUUGGUAGUUAUAACCUGUUUAUUAGUAAAUAAUUAGAAUUGCCUUUGCUUAUCGAUGAUCAAUUAGGUGAACCAUUGCUGAAGUUAUUUCUUGGCUAGAUUCUUAAUUAUCAUUCAUUUGAUUUUAGUAAUUUGUUAUUUAAUUUUUAGUAGUUUCUUAGAUUUUAUUUGAAUUUAUUUGAUUGUCACUUUCUGCACAAAAACACCCCCUUGUCACCGUGAACUUGAAAAGAAACAAUUACUCCCAAUCCCUGUGGAUUCGACCCUGCUCACCACUAUCUACAGAAAUUAUUUUUAGUUUGAGCAGGUAUUUAUUAUUGCACAGGCUGACGACCUGUCAAUUUUUGGCGCCGUUGCCGGGAACUGGCGUUAUUAUUUGUUUCUUUUUAAAUUCAUUUUUUGUCCUAAUCUUCUGGUUUUCUUCUAGUGUAUGCCUCGAUCUUCUCGUACAGGUGAUUUGAUUUUUGACCCUGAGGUAGAGAAGACCGCGCGUAGAACGAGAAAUGAAACCAGACAGUUCAGAGAGGAGCACUCCAGUGCUACAUCUUAGAGACCUGAGUCAGGAGUUGAACCAACAGAUUCAUUUGGUGACACUUCGAGUGACUCGGAGCAGGAAGAAAUUCCCAUGGCUAAUGCACGAACAUUAAGGGAGUUGACUGCCCCUAAUUUAAAUCAGCAGCCUUUGUGCAUUACUUUCCCGAGUUUGAGUAAAAACACUUCAUUUGAGUUAAAAUCUGGUCUGAUUUCUCUUUUACCCUCUUUUCAUGGUUUACCAGGUGAGGAGCCGUAUAAGCAUUUGCAGGAGUUUGAUGUCGUGUGCAACAGUAUGAAACCCCCGGGCAUUACAGAAGAGCAGUGAUUAACGAGCGUACCUUGAUCACCGACACAGUAAGGAGUGGUUGACUGUCAUCGCUUGUUUGGCAGUUAUAACCUAUUUAUCAGUAAAUGAUUGGAAUUGGCUUGCAUCAAUGAUCAAUUAGGUGAACCAUUGCUGAAGUUACUUCUUGGCUAGCUCAUUAAUUAAUAUUAUCUUGGUUUUAGUGAAUUGCCAUCUGAUUUUUAGUUGCCUACUUUAUUUUACUUUUAAUUAUUUUCUUGUUUUAAUUGAUUUGGAUCUUUACUUAUUGUUGCUUUAAGUUCAGGGGAUUGUUAUUUAAUUUCUAGUUAGUUAGUUAUUUUUAUUUUCUUACUUGAAUUUAUUUGACUGUCAUCGUUCCUAUAAAAUCACCCCCUGUGUUACUUUGGAUUUCUUAAGAAACAAAUAUACCCAAUCCCUGUGGAUACGACCCUACUUGUCCUGUCUGCAAAUUCAUAAUUCCUUGCGAAAAUAAAUAACCAUUCCAUUCGGGUAUAUCGGAUCAAGCAAACUCUUCGGGAACAGGGUGAAUCAAGUAACCCAUUGCACACCUAGAGUCCCUGCUCCAGUACUUGGAAUUGGGUUUGGUCAUUUUAACUGGCAAUUAGGUUUAAUUUUAUUAUUGUGCAGGUUUCGACAACCUGUCAAUUUUUGGCGCCGUUGCCGGGGACUGGUGUCAGAUUAAUUUGUUUCCUUUUGAGUUCAUUUUGUUUUCAUUUUUUAUUUAUUUAUUUUUUCCUCUUAUUUUUUUUUGAUAUAGUUUAUGGCUUCUAACACUCCGUAUUUUGGUGAUGUAUUGGAUUUUAUUUCCGGGCAAGGCGAUGAGAUUUGUUUUUUUCCUGAGUUUGCAUAUGCAGAGGCACUAAAAUCUAUUAGAAAAAGAAUGGCUGCUGCAACCUGUAAAAUUUGUUAUGCCAGGGAUCAUUCAACCGGUAUGUGCCCCGAAUAUCAGGAUAAUCUGAGUGUCCCACUCAAAAAUUAUGGAGAUUUUUCACCCUGGUCUCAAACGUGGUAUAACCCUAAUCCAAACGGGUAUGAUCAAGGAUGGUGGGAUAACUCCAGUUAUGAUUAUACAACAGGGCCAAUGGAUUUUCAACAGCAAGAGUCUCAACAACCAUCGUCCAUGUCAGGUAUGUCUUUUCAGGAAUUGGGUGAAUUAUUUAUUAAUACAUAUAAAUUUCAACAGGAGACACAAAUGAGGAAUGAGAUGACGAAAGAUGCAACGAGUUAUCUGGCAGAUCAACUAUGUCUAUUGACAUCCAGAAUGAAUCAAUUGGCUUCUCAAAUGGAAGAAUUGCCCUCGAAAACCAUUGUUGAUCUAGAAGAAAAUGAGAGUGCAAUUUGCUUGACUAGUGAUGAGGAGAUGCAAGAGUGUCAAAAUGAGAAAUCUACAGAUGCAGUUGAAAAAGAAGCUGCAAAAGAAGAAAUGGAACCCCAACCGCAACCCAUUCAAGUGAAAGAAUCCAGUGAACAAUCUCCAAAGGAGGUGACAUCUCCUCCACUCCUUCAUCAAUAUUCUCCUGACUCUUACUCUUCAAUUCCUGUUAACGAAAUUGACUUUAUUAUACCAGACAAUUUUGAAUUUCAUGACAGGAAUAAAUUAAGAGUGGCGAUGGCGAGAUAUCUUGAAGCAAUAAAUGCAAGUGAGGGAGGAGUGAAUGGAGAAUGCAAAUUAUCAUCGACUCGUUUGGCGCCAUUCACUAGUCCAUGGAAGCCCAUAGCUCGUGUGCUCAAGGAUUAUUCUAUUUACGAGGGUUAUCAGGACUAUAUAGAGGAUGAAGCAGUAAGACGAGCCACAAGAUUUUAUCCUCCAUGAGCAAAACAUGAUAAUGUCUAGCCAAAGACAUUAAAGAAAGGCGCUCCUUGGGAGGCAACCCAAUUGUUCCUUUUAAUUGUUUGUUCAUUUUCGUGUGGUAGUUUAGAUGUGCUCUCCUUGAAUUCGACUGAUUUUGGGUUUCAGUUUUCGUUUUUGCUGAUUUAUAGGUGCCCUUCAGUCAUGACGCGCCCGCGUGAUGACGUGCAUGAAGCUCCCGAUCAGAAACUUCUGGGAGCUCUCUUGCCUUCAUGACGUGCCCGCGUCAUGUUCGCGGGAAAGGUAAGUAUUCAAAAAACUCAAGAACGAUUAUUGAUUUUCUGUUAAUCUCUACUUUUGGAUUUCAAAAAUAAAUUUUGUCCAUAAAAAAAAAAAGAAGUUAUAUAUAUAUAUAAAAAAAAGGGGAGAGUCUUCCCAUAUAAAAAAAAAAAUCUUCUAAAAAGAGAAAAAAAUAAAAUGAAAAAAAAACUAUUUCCUUUUUCUUUUUCUUUUUCUUUCUUCCCUCUUCUUUCUUUUCUUUCUUUUUCUUUCUUUCUUCUCCUCUGUUUUUCUCUACGUCGCACGCCGCUCGCACCCUGCUCGCACGCCGCCGCAGCUGUUGAAGAUCCCACUGCGCGCCGCCAGCGCAGCCACCUGCCGCUGCCACGCGAGCCUCCAGCAGCCACCACCAGCUCGAUUUCACCGCAGCAGCGCCGCCCAUCUCCCUCGCGCCGCCACCAUCUUCACCGCGAGCUACCAUCGCGCGCCAUCGCAAGCUGCUGCCCUCUGCGCAGCCACUGCCGCUUCAACGCACGAGGCGCGCCCCUCCCAUCUCUCUCUCUCUCUUUGCGAGACCGUGGCCAAGCAACCCACGCCGCCUUCACUCCAGCUUGUUCGCCGCUGAAGCUCGAUCCGCCGCCCACUGCGCAGCUUCCUUCCAUCUCCCUCUAGCUCUGCUGAGCUCCGCUGUCCCCAGCUCACCCCCACUGCACGCCUCUUUAUGUUGCUGCCCCCGCUACUGUCCGCCGACCACCAGCCAUAGCCUCUCGCUCGCAGCCACCACAGCUCCGUGCUUAUCUCACACGCUCUCACCUCACGUCCCCCUCUUUCGCACAACGUGGUGGUACCUCCUUUCCUUAACACUCGCUUGUUUAUUUGGAAUGUCUGUUGCUGGGUUUGAUGUUUGGAAUCAAUUGAGCUAUCUGUUGAGACUUUGAGUUGAUCAAUCCUAUUUUUAUUUGUUGAAUUGGGAGCCUGUGCUGCUUGAUUUGCUUGUUGAGGGUAGUAGAAUUUCGUUUAAUUAUUGGGGACAUCAUAGUGAUUGGUUAAUAUUGCUAUUUUGGGACCAUUGUUUGUGACCUCAGUGGCCGGGGUUCCCAACUGGUGGAUUAGUACAUACUUGGGGCUAUUGCUUUACUACUGCUUUGAUCUGCUAUAGCAUUUGUUGAAAUUUCUGGGGAUAUUUGUUGAAAUUUUAGUUGGACCGAGUUUACUUUUGACUGUGAGUUGGAGUUCUCAUUACUUUGGGCCAGCCGUUGGAAUUGUUUCAUCAACUCGGUGGGUAUUUUGACUCCACUAGAUUAAUUCUACUCUACUGGCUGACUGCUUGGAAGCUGGGGGUUUGAGAUUCAGUUGUUAAUGUCAGAGUUUUCCACUACUAUUGCUUGACUUGUUCACUUCUUGAGGCCCACUGUUGGGGGCAUUUGUUGAGUCUUUAAGUGCUAUUAUUGGAAUAUUUUAUCUGGAACUUGUUAACUCUAGUUGGUUGGAUAUUUGAUCAAUUGCCAAGACUGUGUGACUGUGUUGCUAUUGCUAAUUUUCAACACUUCUAUUGCUGAAUUUAGCAUAUUAUUGGGGCAGUUGUUAUAGUUUGACUGGUGGAGGCAUUUGUUGAAAUUUUAGAAUGCAUUUGUUGAGACUAUGGAUGGCCCGAGUUUGCUUGUUGACUGACUGAUUUGGGUAGCCCCUAUGCUUAUUGACGUGACCUUGCUAGUUUCUAGUGUUGAUAAUAAUUGCUGGUUGUUAGUUUUGGAGUGCAACUGUUGCUUUGUUGACCAUAUUUGGGCUUGGGUGGCCCGUGUUUGCUUUUAAUUGUUGAGUUGGGGAACACUGGUGACUAUGAAUGUGCGUUGGUGAUUGCUAUCUUUGUUGGAUAUUCUGUCUUUUGUUGUUUGGGGUGAUAAUUGGCGUCAAUGGUGAGUGGCGCCACUUACAAGCACAGGUUCACAACGUAGAUGAACGAAUGACGAACAUCACCCGCCAAGUGGCAAGGAUGUCUCAGAACUCGGCUUCCCUCCAUUGUUCCCUCCUAUCCUUUCGCCACUCGUGAGGGAAGUUUCGUUGCCCUCUUCACUUUAAUUGCUUUAAUCCCUCCAUUGAGAACAAUGUAGGAUCUAGGUGUGGGGGGGACAGCUAUACUAGUUCUUUAUUUUUAGUUUGUUAUUUGUCCAUCUCUCGUUCAUUUUUUCUUCUUUUUAGUGAUUGGCUCGUAAGUGCAUGCCAAGGUUUGAUGUUGGAUUAUUACCUCUAUUUCUACUUUUGCCAAGUUUUAGUAAUAAAGGGGUACCAAGUUAAUGUGGUAAUCCAAAAACAUCUCUUGGGUGAAUAUCAAUGAUUGUUUUACUCUUAUAAUUUUUGGUUAACUUUCCUAGGUAUAGGGAAUGAUUAUUGGCACUUUCAUGUGAAUUGGUCCGGUUAUUAACUUUAGUUCUCCAUGUUUGAAAAUGAGGUUAGCUGAUGCAAGUUUUCUUUUGGUUCUUGUGUUAUAUUGAGUUUUUGUGAUUUUUAGUUAUGAAUAAACUUGACUGUACUCCGCUAUUAGUUACUACUGAGUAACCGGGGAUCUGCACCUACAAGUGUUGAUUCUCGCGUCAAAAGGUAGUAGUUCCUAUGAGUACGUGGUCACGUGGCGAUAGAAGCUGAGUAACCGGGCUCCUUCAUCUGGCCAAUGUUGGAGUUCGAGUCAAAAGGCUCAAAUGGCUAGCGACCCAGUCUUUUGUUACUAUUGAAAGAAAAAAAAAAAGAAUAAUAAAAAAAAAGAGAGAAAAGUAGAAAAAAUGUGAAAAAAAAGUGAAGGUUGUGUUAGUGUGUAAUAAAAGUCAGCUUGCCGAAUUAUGGAUUUAAUGUUGAGAUUUUGAUUAAUAGUUGGACCAUUUGCUGAUAAAUGUUAUGCGACAUUCCUUUUUCUUAGAUUAGUUAAUCUGAAAUUGGAAGAGUUUAUGGUUUAGAAGCUAACCGGAGUGAUGUUUCUUGGACUUGACCAUUGAUGCUUGAAUAUUAUUUUUUCUUGGUAUCUUGGCAAUUUGUUGGAUAGAGCAAUAGCCACUAUCAAAUAUUGGUGUUUGUUUCUUGCUCUCAUGCUUGAGGACAAGCAUGGUUUAGGUGUGGGGGGAAUUGAUAGGUUGUAAUUUUAUCAUUUAUUUUAUAAUUAAUUUCCCCUAUUACUUAACCCAAUGUGAAUUAAUUAUUAGAUUCUACUCACUUUUCGUAAUUUGCAUUUAUUUCAGGGAGUAGAAUAAAAAUGUCACAAUCAAGGCCAAUUUGACGGUCAUCGGGAAAGAGUUCAAAUAGCAGGCAAUCAAGGGCAUUCUUGGAACAAGGAGAUGCAUGACCUUUUUGGUAAUUUUGACCGAAGACAGCAACUAGAAAAAGGGAAAAGAAAGCAAACCUGAGGGUCUUCUUUUUCUCGGGUGCGGCGGACGCCGCACAGGAGGAGUAGCAAUUAGAAUAGGAAUUAAGAUUGCAGGAGGAGAGCACUAUCCUCUGGUCUUCUUUAGUUUUUUCGUCUUGUAGUAUAGCUUUGAGCUUUGACUUUUCUUUUGGUUGGUAGUAGUUCCUUUCCCCUGCGUAUGUCAGGAAGAAUUAGUAACAAGCAAUCACCUUUUGUAGCCUCGUUUUCCUUUCCUGAAGCGAAUUGGACUUUUCCAAGACGCAGACCAUGGCCGCGACUCUUGUUUUUAUUUCCUGUGGAUUUUGUUCAUUAACUAUGAACUAAAUUCCUUUUUCUAGUCAAGGAGCAACGGAUGCUUUGGGUCGCCUAAAAUUGUGAGAUCGAUUUAAUUUAAUCUUUUUCUUUUAUUUAUUGGUAUUCGCAUAUUCCUUGAUUGCUAUGCUUAUGGUUAUUUAAUUAAUUGACUGUCUAGGAUCCAGAUAAUUAGUUGAUUGGGUAAUCUAUUGUCAAUUAGGGCAUUAAAUCCGUAAUUGUUUAAUUGCUCUAAAAUAGUGACAACUGGCACGAUUGAGUUUGUGUCAGGGGAAUACGCGGGCUAAUCUAAAAUAACCCUGGUAGUGCGUUAUUUGGUUAGAAUAGGGCUCCUCUAAUACGUAAGGCAAUUGGGGAAUUAAAUUCUACGGGCGUAUCUAAGAUUAUUUCUCAAUUAGAGCAGUGAUUAACGGGCGUACCUUGAUCACCGACACAGUAAGGAGGGGUUGACUGCCAUUGCUUGUUUGGUAGUUAUAACCUGUUUAUUAGUAAAUAAUUAGAAUUGCCUUUGCUUAUCGAUGAUCAAUUAGGUGAACCAUUGCUGAAGUUAUUUCUUGGCUAGAUUCUUAAUUAUCAUUCAUUUGAUUUUAGUAAUUUGUUAUUUAAUUUUUAGUAGUUUCUUAGAUUUUAUUUGAAUUUAUUUGAUUGUCACUUUCUGCACAAAAACACCCCCUUGUCACCGUGAACUUGAAAAGAAACAAUUACUCCCAGUCCCUGUGGAUUCGACCCUGCUCACCACUAUCUACAGAAAUUAUUUUUAGUUUGAGCAGAUAUUUAUUAUUGCACAGGCUGACGACCUGUCAUAGUAGAACAACUAGAAACUGGUUUUCCACUUCUCAAUGCUGCUCUGCACAUAGUAUCACCACAACUCUACACAAUCUUCUUCCCGUUUUGAAUAAAGUAGGGCUCUCAACCACUAUCUCCAACAUAAAUCAGACCAGUAAAUCCAUUUUCCUUUUCCUGGUCCAAGAACUUCCACAAGAAAAAGACUUCAGGCCUCCAAAUGUGUAUUUAUAUGCUCUAUGGUGAACAAGUUCCUGCUACAUGACAAUUAAAGACGAAAUUUGCCAUCCUAAACGCAGCAAUUGUUUAACACCAAAACACAUGCAAUUUGCUGUAACAGAGUGGACAACUAUGUUAGUUCUUUAAUCAUCUAAAAUCAGGAUAAAGGGACACUUCUAAAGAGUUGGAUACUGGUACUUAGGUAUGAUGGACAUUCUAGGAAAUAUACAAAUUAUGUACAUCGAUUGUUGUUUACUUGUUAACGAACAGGGCCAUUUUGCCUUGGGAGCUUUUCAGAUUUCAUUUAUACAAGGGAAAUUCAGAAUUUUAGAUAGGUCUUCUGUCUCUCUAACAUGAAAGUCCUAAAGUUUUCCACUUCACUUCUCUCCUCCCCCUUCACCAUCAACAUCCACUGACAAAAAAGAAAGUACCCAAAAAAUUGUUGAAGUGCCCCAAAUGGAUCCCAUACCAGUACCAGUGUCAAGUUAUGUCGACACGGGCACACUGGGGUAAAACAAAAAGCUGGAGUAACAUAGGUGGAAGGGUGAUUUUCAGGUAGCUAAUCUGUUAGUGUCACCAGUUUGACAAGCAUGGUGCAGCUUAUACCCAUUAUGGCGACAAUGGCUUUCACCCUGACAAAAUUAUAAAUAACUCGAUGACCAUGUCUUGGAAAAUGUUUUGCAUUGCUUGGGCCUCCAAGAAAGAUAGAUGGUGAGAGUGAUAGCUGGAAAUUUCAAUCACAUAAUAAAGCUCACUUCUCUCUUCCUUUCUAUCUGGAUCGGAAGAAUCAAAUCCCUACGCCACGGAACUGGUCAUGAAAAAAUGAAUGUAUAUUAGGAACCACAUAUACCCCUCAUCUCAACACACAUGAUUUAUUUCUACAGCCAAGCCCCACAAAAACUUUGGUUUUAAGAGGACAGAAAGCAAACUCCUACAAAAAAAGGUUUCAAGAUUAUAAUCGUGUUUGAAGUUACUGAAGACAAGAGUGACGAAUCCAGCUAAAGCUUUUCUGAAUAAUGCCAUCAGCGAAACCUCUUCAAACAGGCUUGAGUAUCAUUCUUCAACGCAAUUAUAGCUACCAAACCAGUAACACGCCAACUUGCACUCACAGCAGUUUUGUUACCAGCAAGUAGCCAGUAGGGUUUCAGACUUCAAUAACAGUACAAGAGCUGCUAAAACACUAUGCAAUGAAAGUAGCUAAUAAGCAACUGUUAAGAAUUGAACUUUGUUCCAACCUCGAAAGGAAAAGAUAUCAGAAAUUAUACUAGUCAACAACUGUUAUUUGCCUUUAUCUCUCUCUGCCCCUAACUCAAGCAUACUUCCCAUUCAACUGAAGUUCAAACUCAAUAAAAGCCCAGAUUCCAAGGACUACAGCUUAUUGUUAAAUGUGAGUAUUAUCCUCAGCUAUCUUUUCUCUGGAAAAGCUGUUUAAUCAGAUUCGUUCCCAGCUGGGGAUACAAUGUAUCUCUACAUGCCCCUUGGAAGAGAACUUUUGGCUACAAACCUCAAUAGGCCACAACUGUUUUGCAGUUUAGCUCCACUACAUGGAUAAUUUCCUAUUUCUUUUUUUUUCAAGUCCUUUUGCCCAGUAUCAAGUGAAAAAUGAGGCUCAUACAAGAAAUGAAAGCUGUAACUGGCCAAAUCCCAUGGUUUUUUCUUCAUGCGAGCAGUUGCACUUAUAGCCGGUUUGUCACACAUCACAUAGUCUACUCACUUAAUAUAACUAAAAAGUAGUCACGAAACACAACUGCUCUUAAUAAAAAAGAAGACAUCCAUUUAGCUUGAUGAUUUCAUAAGAGGUUCAGAUUGAUGCUUUGACAGAAUUUGGUAAACAUCAGGUACAAAUGAAAAACCCUAGACAGAAACCUGAUGUAGUGCAGGUGAACUAAGUGGCUAAAUGUACAAAGGCACUACAUUUGCAAUCUUUUCCAUUACAACAGAAUGAUUAGCUUCAAUUACAAAAUUAUCAAAAUUUGUUCAGUUGACAACAGAAAACUAAUCAGCCCACUAUAGUUAGCACAUCUAGAAACAACUUUGGGAGUUAGACGUAAUAUCAAUGAACAUUCAAAGGUAUCAAAAAGCUAAACACAGAUCCACACAAAGCAAAGGAACUAAAAAGUUCUCUCACUGAGUAUGUCUGAGCUGCAACAGAGCAUAUACAUCCUAAAACAAGUUCAUAUACAUUGUCUCUAAAGUGGUACUAUUCGUUGCCUACCAACCGACUAAAGAUUGCAAAACUACGGCAUCCUGCAAUUAACUUUAUGCCAAUUAUUUUGUGGUUUAGGAACUAUUUAACUUCAUCCAUUGAAUUGAACAGGAAAGCUCUCAGUUUUAAAAAAGGAUUACUUUGAUUCAGAUUUUCAGGGCAGCUAUGCAUAAGUAAAUUCUAAGACCAAUAGACCUACACAUGAUCGUCUCCAACUAUGGACUCAUCUCCUAUAAACUAAAUCAUCUUGAAUAAAACAUCUAACUAGUGAAAACUGUGAAAUAUCUAAUCUAAGCACCACAUGUUGCCCUUUAACCGAUAAUCAACAAACUUCUUGGUUGUCUCUUGACUAGGUCCCCCAAUGUGCCGAAUCCUUCAUUUCAACCAAAAAGAGGACCUUGAGUGUCCAACUUAUUUUGGGUGACAAUAACCAUGGGGAGGCAGGCACCAGUGCCUUUUGGCCCAUCCUCCUCCCCAACUCUGCUGCAGGACCCAACCUAAAUCUGAAAAACAGCCAGUGCCCCAGGACAGCACUCUGAUGCAGAAUUCUGUACCUCAAAUUAUCAAAUAAAACCUACAACAUUAAACAGAAACCAAAGCUUCCCUGACAUAAGUGAGAAAAAUCCACAAGUGCAAGAGAUAAUAUUUCAUGCAUUAUGGAAUCAAUAUUUUCUUUCCAGUCAAAAUAUUUCGCAGAGAAAACCUAUUGCUUGAAAAACAAACUUUUGCGAAAAAAUCUACAAGCACAAUGUUGGAAAUAAUGCGUUCAACGCAUAUGAAUCUCAACAUCCACAGACAGACAUUGAAAGAACCCAAACACACAAGGAGAAUUACCAAUGCAAAUCAACAAAACUGAAGCAAAACUCCAACCAACAAAAGUGAGGUACAAAAGAAGGAUAUAAGCUUUAUCACAAAGAACCACAUAAAUGAGCAAUGCAACACUCUUAACAGAUACUGAAAUUCAGUAUGAAACUCAUAAACUUGAAUUAAACCACAUUCGAUUGGAGAAAACGUAAAUGACCACUUACAAAACUAAAACAAGAAAAAUCCUUGAUUAAUACUCCCUCCGUUCCAUUGACACAGUCAUAUUUUCCUUUUUAGUUGUCCCAAAAUAUUUAUAACUUACAUAAAUUGGCUAACACAUUUGCAUUCAAUUCGUCCAUUUACCGUUCAAACACUCCCUAAAAGUCCAAUGCAUGUGUCUUUUCAUGAGCCCACAGAUUAUUACCAACGAAACUAAGACAACUUCUUUUGUAGUACGCGGUAGUUGGCUUUAAGAAACUAAAGCCAUUAAGUGUUCUGAUGCACGCGCUAGUUGGCAAUCACAUCUGCGAUUGGACAAACAUCUUGGCUCCACAAUUCUUUAUGUCUUAGUACAACACUUAAAGCUCUUCAUGGGGGUGAAACGAGAAACCACAGCAUCAAUUUUCAAAUUCUAUCCACUCCUCAUAAAAAUUACAAUUCCCGAAGUGCAAUAAAUUUUUGGGAUGAAGCGAGUAAUUCUCAAUAGCAGACCAAAACUGUCAUUAAAUUGUCUAUUAUACGAGUCAUUAGCUCAUAAAUUGCAAGCACUUCAACCAAAAAUUACAUUUCUAUGCCAAAAACCCCAUUCAGAGAUAACCUUAAGCUGUCAAAACAUAGAGAUUAUAAAUCCUAAAGACUGUCAAUUAAAAAAAAACUAAAGCAAACCCACUUAACAAAACCUAUCCAACAGUCACCCAAGAAAAAAAGUUUUAUUUACCUUCCCUAAGAUUAAACCAAAUAAAACGUGAAACCCAGAAAAAUGUCAAAAAGCCUCCAAAAAAUCCCAGGUAAAAUCCAAAAUAGAACUCAAAGAAAAAACUAAAAAAUAAUUACCUUUAGAUGAAGCAUUGGCAGUUUGAGGAAUAGGCUGCGCCGCUGGGGAGCCUUGUUUUUGUUGGGCUUCGGCUUCCUGGAUCUUCUGCAUCCGUUCCAUGACAAGCUCGUACUCGCACUUCUUACCUGCUUGAUUGAUUAACAAAUUGAUAAGACCGAAACAAGUAAUCUAUGUGCAUAUGCCACUCAUAUGCUCUGCCUAAUCAAUUUUACAUGUAAACAAAAUUCACCGCUUGAGGUGAAGCAAAAAUCAAGAGUCGGCCUUGUUUGGAUUCCCAUUUCUUCCCAAAAAAUUUUACACUUUGCGGUAAUGCAUCUUUCAAUCACUUUUUUUACCUCAUAUCAUAUCGUUACAAUAUUUUUUUUCACAGAAACUCCAGAAAAUAGUAUCCAGACGGGCUAUUUGCGAUCUCAAAAGCAGCAGUCAAAAUGACUGCUACACUGCCCCACUCACAUCGGUUGAGCUGAAGGAACUACAAUUACACAGUCAAAAUGACUGAAGCUCUAAUAGAAAGGCCGCCAGAGUUGCUCCAAAUUAACCGGUCCAUAUCCGCUGCUAAUACAGCAAUGAUACUGAAAGAUGAAGUUGCAAUCUUGCAGCUGCUGCUGCUGCUGCUAGUCUUCUCAUUGAAAUUAAUGUCUUAGUAUCCACAGAAUUUUCUCAAGUACCCCACAGCUUUCUCUUCACAGACUCGACCACAAUUACCAUGGUCCCCCCAGCUCUAUAUUGGACUCUUUUCUCAUGGCAGCCGGCUGCCAACCCGGGUGAUAGACUGAUAAAUCCAAGAAUCUUUUUCUAUUUUGCUAACUUCCAAGAAAUAAUUUCAAGCAGGAAUUUGUCCCUUUCCUUACCUGCCUCCAAAAGAAAUUAUAGAAAUUGCUCUUUGGAGUAUGGGAGUAUAGUAUAGUUUGAAUCAGUCUAAAGACUUGACUUUUCCGACUUGGCAAGUCCACGCAGGAGUUUACAGUGACGGAGCCAUCCUCACUUCAUUUUCCAAGGACCAAUAAUUCCUCCCACCUCAUCCUGCAAAUCCUACACCAGCUUUAAACCGAUCAUCUCCAUCGAUGUAGGAGUAAUCUGCGUGUUUUGGGGUACCUUCUUAAUUUUGCUCCAAUGUUUACUCUUCUUGUAUACCUUUCCUUUCUCUUCAAUCUCUUGUUCAUCAUCACUUCCAGCGGUACUCCGCCUUACAGCCCCACAGAUUACAUCCUGAUCAUUUGCGGAUCAUCCUCAAACGCAAACUCUACCGAUGGCCGGAACUGGUACGGCGACGCCGGCUCAAAAUUCACCCCUAAAGACAUGGCGAAUAUAUCAUCAGCUGUCACAGCCCCCGAGCAAGGCCCUUCGGUACCUUAUUUAACUGCCCGUAUCAUUCGUUCUAAUUUCUCCUAUACCUUCCCUGUCUCCCCCGGCAAAAAGUUCGUCCGCCUUUACUUCUACCCGGCCUCCUACUCCAGCGACUUCAACGCAACUGAAUCUUUCUUCUCUGUCAUGGCUAAUAACUACACCCUUCUGAGCAACUUUAGCGCAUUUUUAACAGUUCCUGCCAGGGACAAUUCACCUGCCUACGUCGUUAAAGAAUUCAUCGUUAAUGUUCAGGCUAUGAAUCAAUUCCUCAACGUUACCUUUUUGCCCUCUACGCAGUCCUACGCGUUCAUUAAUGGAAUUGAAGUUGUUUCAACCCCGGACGGACUCUACAUGGGCAACUAUGAUUUGUCCAGUAAUUCCCUCAAAGACGUGGAUGAUCCCAACAAUCAGUUCGAGUUAAAUCAGAACGACACUGCCUUCGAAGCUCUUUACAGGCUUAACGUCGGAGGACAAGCUGUUUCUCCGUUAGAUGAUAGUGGGAUGUUCCGAGGGUGGGCUUCCGAUGACAACUUCAUCUGGGGCGCAGAUCCAGGGAAUCCAUUGAGCAAUAAUCAAAUUGCUGUCAAGUACACUCCGCAAACCCCAAAUUACACUGCACCAGCGAUAGUUUAUGCUACCGCAAGGGCGAUGGGCAACUUUAGCACCCGCUUCAACUUGAGCUGGAUGUUCUCUGUUGAUUCUGGAUUUGAUUAUCUCCUGAGGUUGCAUUUUUGCGAGAUUAACCCUGAUUUGAUUACACAAGAGAACCAACGGGUGUUCAGGAUAUUCAUCAGUAACAAAACAGCUGAGGAAGAGGCUGAUAUUAUAACUUGGACCGGCGGCCCCGGAAUCCCGGUUUUCAGAGACUACGUCGUGUUCGUUCCACACCCACCGGGUGGUCGGCCCAGCAAGCAAGGCUUGUUUCUUGCUCUGCACCCAAAUCUCGACGUCAAGCCGAAGUAUGCUGAUGCAAUCUUGAAUGGUUUAGAAUUAUUCAAAUUGAGCAACAGCGAUGGCAGUCUUGCCGGGACCAAUCCUGAUCCGGCGGCGGGUCCCAAUUCCCUGAUGCCAAACAGCAAGUCACCGAAAAAGGGGAGAGGUGUAAAAUCUCGGGUACUUUUUCCUAUCGUGGGAGGGGUGGUCGGAGGUGCUGCCUUGGUUUUGGUCAUCGGUUUCUUGAUUUCCCGGCGGCUAAGGAGACGGGUAAAAGAUUUUGACCAGAAAAGUGCUUCAAAGUCAUCCUGGGUCGAACUUUCAACCACGUCCAGGUCAUCAAAGGCAAAAAGUGCAUCAAGGUCUUCGUCACUGCCGCUGGAUCUUUGCCGAAGAUUUUCCCUGGAGGAGAUCAUCUUUGCUACGGCCAACUUCGAUGCUAAGUUUGUGAUCGGAACCGGAGGAUUCGGAAACGUGUACAAAGGGUACAUCGACAAUAGUCUAACCACAGUUGCUAUUAAGCGAUUAAAUCCUUCGUCAAGUCAAGGGGUCCGCGAAUUUCGAACCGAGAUCGAGAUGCUGUCGAAUCUAAGGCAUCUUCAUCUGGUAUCCCUGAUAGGUUACUGUGAUGAGAAGGGAGAGAUGAUCUUGGUUUAUGAUUACAUGGCCAAUGGCACCCUCCGCGACCACCUCUACAAAACAGAUAAUCCACCCCUCCCGUGGAAGCAACGGCUUCAGAUUUGCAUCGGCGCAGCCAGAGGGUUGCAUUAUCUCCACACCGGCGCCAAGCACAAUAUCAUCCACCGGGACGUCAAGUCAACCAACAUAUUACUGGACGAGAAAUGGGUGGCCAAGGUUUCUGAUUUCGGUCUGUCCAAGCUAGGCCCCAGCGGUGGAAUCCACAGCCAUGUCAGCACGCAGGUGAAGGGGAGUUUCGGCUACGUAGAUCCCGAGUAUUACAAGAGACAGCAGUUGACGGACAAGUCGGACGUGUACUCGUUCGGGGUGGUUUUGCUCGAAGUGCUGUGUGGGCGGGGAGCCAUUAUUCCCAACUUGCCCAAGGAGCAGGUGAAUUUGGCGGAGUGGGGCAAGAGGUAUUACGCUAAAGGGAUCAUCCAUCAAACUGUAGACCCUCACAUGAAGGGCGAGAUUGCUCCCGAGUGUUUGAGGAGUUUUGCUGAAACGGCGAUCAACUGUUUGAAAGAUCAGGGGAUUGAACGACCCGGAAUGAAUGAUGUAGUCUGGAGCCUCGAAUUCGCGUUGCAGCUUCAGGAGGCGGCUGAAAAUGAGAGUGGUCGACGUCCAUUUGCUUUCCGUAUGCAUGGGUUGGGAAGAGAUGAGCAAACUACGACUGAGGAUGACGAGGAUGUGUUCUCAGACUCGGGAGUUGAGAAAGAUUCUGCCGCCAUGAUGAAGAGCCGUAGUAUUACGACCGGGACAUUCACGGCCAGUAGUGACAUGUUAAAGUCUGAUAAUGUUUUCUCCGAGAUCAUGAAUCCCACCGGCAGGUGAGGAUUUUAAUCUACAGAUAAAACCUCCAAAAAUGUACGUGGGAUAUUCAUGUCUUAGGAGUCUAGCGUGCUAUGUCCUUGUGCUAUUUUUUUUUUUUUUUUGUCUGUAUUGGGCAACCUAUUUGUAAUGUCAAUAUAGUAUAUUUUUGGAAAUGUAAUAUUAAUUAAGGAAAGUAAAUAAAUAUUGGGAGUGUUUUUGAAAAUGUAAAAUCAAUUAAAAAAAGUAAAUAAAUACGAUAGAAGGUUAGUAAGAUUAGAUGGGAAAAGUAUUAAAUGCAAUGGAAGGUGAUAAUUCAUGCCUUAGGAGUCUAGCGUGCUAUGUCCUUGUGCAUUUUUUUUUGUGUAUUGUGCAACCAUUAAGAUAUGUUUGUGGUGUUAAAAUAUAUUUUUGAAAAUGUAAAAUUAAUUAAGGAAAGUAUAUAAAUAUGAGCGAGUAUUUUUGGAGAUGUAUGAUUAAUUAGGAAGAGUAAAUAAAUACAAGAAAUAAUUGGUCAGAUUGGAUGGGAAAAGUAUUAAAUGCAAGGGAAAGUAAUAACUAUUAGUAUGUGUAUAUAUGAUAGGUUAGGUGAAUUUUAAAUGUCUUAAUAAAAUAAAAGUACCUAAUGGAUAUGGGUACCCAUUAAAAAAAACCCUUUCUUAAAUAUUUUUUCUUGCGAAGUCAAUAAGUAUAAUAUGGUGCGGUUUUGAUCGCUUAGGAUUCGUUUGGUUCACGGACCAAAUAAGAUAGAAUGACUCAUGCUCGAAUUAUUAAUCCUGAAUUGAGUCAUUUUCAGAUAAAUAAUAUAAGUUAUCUAGUGUUUGAUUGGUUAUAAAUUGGAUAGGAUAUGUUGGGAAAUAAUCUUAUCCCGUGUUUGGUUGGAAAUUAGAUAAGAAAAGAUUACUAUUUUAAUGACCAAAGUACCCCUUAAUUUGUAGAAUUUCUUUUAAUAAAAUAAUUUAAUAUUUAAUAUAAUUUUAAUAAUUUUAAUAUUAAAAAUAAUUUAAUAAAAAAUUUCACAUUUAUAACUUUUAUUAAAAUAGAGUAGUUUGAAACUUUAGAAUUAUAAAGUAAAUCGUAAAUCACAGGUUUUAAGAUAUAAAAAAUUUGCAUUCACUCAAACUCAACCCAUUCGGGUUCUUAAAAAUAGAUUUUUGACCAAGUUUUUAACCUAAAUUUGAAAUUCAACUAAAUAAUGGGUUGAGCUUUGCUAAGUUAGGGUUAAAUCGAUUAAAACCUAACCCAUUUAAGAGUUUUAAAUGAGUUGAACUCAAUCUAAUACAGAAGAUUUUUCUUUGGACCGAGUUUGAGUUUAUUGAAAUCCUCAUUCAUAAAGGCCAAUUGAUAAGGUUAUAUAUUUAUAUAGAAUUUGGUUUAGAAAAUAAGCUUAGUAAGGAUUAUUUAGUCCAAGGGCAAUAUAGUCCUUCUAUUAUGAUGUUAGUAUGGCAAAUUAGUCAAAAAAUUUAAAUUAAUUAAUAGGGGUAAAUUAGUCAAAAUUUUUAAAAUAAUAAAUAGGAGCAAAUUAGUCAAAAAAUUUCAAUAUAGUUGGUAGGGGCUAAUUAGUCCAUUUAUUAUCAUAUUAUUAUGUGAGAGUAUGGUUAUAUAAUAGUUAGUAUGAAUUUGUAUCACUCAUAAGGGCAAAUUAGUCUAAUUAUAUUAUAUUGGUAGUAGGAGUAAAUUAGUCAAAAACUUUAAAAUUAAUUAGUUGGGGCAAAUUAGUCCAUUCGUUUUAUAUUAUCACGUGGGAGUUGGGUUAUAUAAUUAUAAGAGUAUAAAUUUAUAUUUUUUUUAAGAGUUAAUUAGUCUAAAAGUUGAUCAUCCUAUUUGUUAGUUAUCCCAGGAUAACUAAUAUCACCUCCCCCUAUUUGAUUAUUUUAUCCCAUAAAUAGGGGAUUAAUUCAGUUAAGUAAGAUGUGUCAUCCUAUAUAUAAAAUGUAAUCAAAUAUGAGAUAACACAGGAUAAUUAAUCCAAUCCUGUGUCAUCCUAUGAACCAAACAAGUCCUCAGUACUUUGAUAACUUCAAGGACUCUGGUCGAAAUUUAUAUUUGGACACAAUUGACCCCAUAAAAAUAAAUCUAUACUGGAUGCAAAUGUGCCCUUAGAAUUUGUAAAAUUGUGUGACUCUGCCAUCAUAGGAAAAUAUUGAUAAGAUGGGUAACAUUGGAACAAAUUUUGAGUUCUCAAGGGAAAAAAAUAACACUUCAGGUUAUUAAUAGACAUGAAAUGAUAAUUUGGAUUGCAUUUUUCAGAAUUUUUUGUAGAAAAAUUACUAUUUCGAUUUGAUAUAUAUGAAGUAAAAAGAUGAUUGGAAAAUGUGUUAAAAAAACGUAGCAAUUUUUCUUUCCAAAAAUUGCUUUCCAAACAAGACCUAAAGGCAUUUAUUGAAGGAAAAAUUUCACCAACAAUUUUGUGUAGUGAUUGGAUAAUUGACAUAUUUAGAAGAAGCAAUCCUACAAAUACGCAAACAAUUAUCCAUACAUACAGUGUACAUAUAAGGAGAGAACAGGGUUGGUGUAAAUUUUUUCUAUUACUUUUUGUAAUCCUAUUUUAUCCUUCAAAUAAAGGGAAAAAUGGUAUUACCAUCUCCCAAAAAUAAACACACACACACACACACACACAUAUAUCUCCCAUUUUUUAAGUCUAACAAAACUUCUAAUAUGGUAAUAAUGGCCCAUAACAUUUUUAUCGAAAAAAGAAAUAGAAAAACAAAUUAUUUCCAUUCAUAUGUCUAAAAUAAAUCCUCAAUAACUACCAAAAACUUUAUUAACUUUCUGUCUAAAAAUUUACUUAUUUUAAAUUUGUACACACAUAGAAUGUGCCCGUGUCAUUAGUUAAUAUAAUACUUUGCACGAGGAUAUGCAUGUUUUCAGUUGAAAUGUCAUAAAGGAAUUGCUAUUGAGUAGGGAUAUUAAUUAGUUAUUUGUGAUUUAAGAUACACAAAUUGCUAUUGUUGUAUGAGUUUUUUGCCAAAAUAACACUUUUGCUAAAAAAUAUUGCCAAAUAUGAUUCACUUUCAAAUUUUAUUACCAUAAUGACAUUAUUGUUGCCAUCUAGUUAUCCUGAUUGUCAUGUAGGAUAACAAGAAAGGAAAGUUCUAAUCCAGUUUAUGGUUUCCAACAUGAACUAAAAUUUUAAAAUUUUUUAUUAUAGCAGCAUAAGAAGAUUGCAUAACUUUUAUAAUUUCCUUAUAAUUACCUAAAAUAAAUUCUACCAUUAUUGACCUUGCUAUUAUUGGUUUCUGAAUUUUUUUAAACGUAUCAAAUCUAUUGCAUAUAUUUUUUUCAAAAAAUAAAUUUUAAAAAUACAAAAAUUGCAACGAAAAUUGUAAGCAAUUACAAAAACUUUAAUGUUAUCAUAUUUGUUUUCCUUCCUCCUCUUUGAAAAGACAAGAGAAUAAUCUUCAUCUGCCUUAAGAUUAUUGACUCACGAAACAUAUUUUUUAGAUACUGUUAAUAUAAAGAUUGGCUUCUUAGAUUAUGUUUGACAAGGGAAAGAUAACGAAAGAAAAAAAUGUGGGAAGGUUUAGAGAGAAAAUAUUAGAUGAGAAAGAGAAAUGGAGGACGUUUUUAUCUUCAUCCUGACACAUAUGCAGCCUAAGUGGCAAAAAAGGAACACAAAGGUAAUAAAUUUUAAAAUUAGGUUACUUUGGGUAUAUAUUUUGGAAGAAGAGUUAUUUUGGCAAUAAACUCAUUAUUGUAUCCACUAUUCUAUUUAUUUCUUUGGCUUUGUUUGAUAACUCAUUUCUACACUGAAAUUUAAUAGAUGAUCUUAACAUAGUCAAAUGUGUUUUAUAACCAAAAAAUAGAACAUUUAAAAUAAUUAAGUGGCUCUAAAUUAUCUAGACAAAACUUACUCCAAAAUAUAAGUGAUAAAUUGUUCAUUUAUUACUUAAUGCAGAAUACGUUUACAUGUUAGGAUUUCAGUACUGAACAAAUCAAUAAUUUAAUGGAUUCAAAUCUCAAAACUUUAGAUUUCAAAUUUUAGAUUUUAUUUUUAUCAAAUGCACCGUGUCAAUUUUCAAUAUUUUCUUCAGUUAUUGAUUUUUUUUAAUGUGUUCAUAAAGGCGGGGUCUCUAGAGAAGAAAGUGUGCCACCCAACAUGGCAUGGCUGAUCCAUCACUUUCUUAUUUGGGGUCCUCAUCAGAUGAAUCUAAUUCUUUCUCUGAGUGAUAAAAAUUUGUUUGAAGAGUUUUUCCUAACCUUUGAAACUUUGAUUUUUAGUUUCCUUUCAAUUCUAACAUUAGUUAUGAUAAUAACCCACAUAUGUUCUCUUGAAAAACCUUUUCUUUUUAAAAGUUCCAAGUCAGAGAAAAUAAAAAAAAUCAAUUUGAAGAAAAGGAAGAUGACAGCCACCUAAAUAUGGUGGAGCUCUGAUUAAAGGUUUCUAUCCGAAAGGGAGACCUAAAGUAUUCUACUCUGUCCCAACUCCCAACUACAGCCAUAGGUCAUCAUCUAAAGUACGCAGAAGUAGCCACUGGGCCUUUGGCCCGGUAGUCACCACCAAGCCUUUAAAAAGUCUUGGUAAUCCUUGCCUCCCACAAAAAAUUGCCACAAUAUAUAAUAGUCUUAAUUGAUCAUCUUCGAUGCAGUUUCUAUUUAUAUCGAGUCUUUCUUCCCCUCCUCUUAGAUUAGAUUAUAAGAAUUCUAUCGUUAAAAAAAAAAGUACGCAAAAGUAGCCCUAGAACUAGGGACAAAGGAAAAAGUUAUCCUGACAAGAGAUAGGGAAGGAUGGAGAAAUAUCAUUCAUGAAUAUUAUGAAUAUGUUUUUUUUAAAAUUAUACCACAUUUAUACCAAUUUUAACUCUUAUUUUUGUGUAUGAGGUGUUAAAUUUAUCAAAAUUUUAUGAAUUAACUUUUUAUACACUCACAACGUAAGGGUAGUGUUUUUUUUUUUAACACUAACGGCUUUGAAUGUAUGCCGCAUAUGCGCAUAAUUUGAAUUUAAAAUCUAAAUUCAUAUUAUGUAAUAUGAUCUAAACAUGAUAGUGUAAAAAAAAUUAUACAUUGACAAUAUAUAAAAGAAGUUUUCCAAAUUUUAUUACCUUUUUACUUUUGUAUGUGCAUCUACAAAGUUAGGCUACAUGUUGCUGUCAUUUUAUAAAUAACUAAGAGGAUAAGUCAUUGUCCUUCUUGAAAUUUUAAAAUUUUUUUUCAAAAAUUGAUGUAUAAUUUGUAAAGAAUACGUCAAAAAUUUAUUACGUGUUUCAUAAAAUUAAUUAAUUAAAAAAUAUGAGUAUUUUUCAAAAUAUUCACUACAUUGAUUCAUUUACUUGGUUUGGCAUAUGCUCUGUUUAUAGGUUCCAGACAUUCACAACGGGGUCAUUCAGAAACAUGGCGAGACACAACUAUGGCACAAGAUUUUGAGUUUGGUAGCCAAAAACCAGUCCAUGAGAUUUGCAUUAUAAACACAUAACUCAGUAAUAUGUGAGAUACGGAGACAGCAUCAAAAUAAACCAAAAACUGUGUCCACAAGAUGCUUAUUAGAAAAAACUAAAUUCCAGAACAGGAUAGUCUAGGUCCAGGUCGCAUUACAUCGAAGAGUUUCGAACAGAAUUUCACGGAUUAAUAAUGACACAAUCUCAGCAGCCUCAGCAACCUGUUAGAACAUUGAACAAACACCAUUAGAUACGUUGAAGUGAAAAAGAUAAAUAAAGAAAAAGAGAAGAAAAAUGUCACCACAAUAAAUAGUAGAAGAACUAUAAACUGGUUUUCCUAUUGAUUUUUUUGUUCCGAAAAAAAAAAAAAGAUAUGCAAACAACAAUAACCGACUAAGAAGACCACAAAAUUUCGACACGACUAAGAAGACCACAACUUUUUAGGACAAUCCACUGUCCCAAACGGAUCCCAUACCAGUACCGGUGUCAAGUUAUGUCGACACGGGUACAUUGGGGUAAAACAAAGAGCUAAUCUGUUAGUGUCACCAGUUUGACAAGCAUGGUGCAGCUUAUACCCCUGAUGGCAACAAUGGCUUUCACCCUGACAAAAUUAUACAUAACUUGAUGACUAUGUCUUGGAAAAUCUUGUGCAUUGCUCAGGCUUCCAAGAAAGAUAGAUGGUGAGAGUGAUAGCUGGAAAUUUCAAUCACUUAAUAAAGCUCACUUCUCUCUUCCUUUCUACCUGGAUCGUAAGAAUCAACUUUCCAUUCCAUGGAACUGGUCAUGAAAAAGUUAAUGUGUGUUAGGAACCAAAUAUACCCCUCAUUUCAACACACCUUAUUUAUAUCUACAGCCAAGCCCCACAAAAACUUUGGGUUUUAAGAGGACGGAAAGCAAAUUCCAUCAAAAAAACGGUUUCAAGAUUAUAAUCGUGUUUGAAUUUACUGAUGACAAGAAUGAUGAAUCCAGCUACAGCUUUGCCGAGUAAUGUCAUCAGAAAAACCACUUCUAACAGGCUUGAGUAUCAUUCUUCAAUGCAAGUGUAGAUACCAAACCAGUAACAUGCCAACUUGCACUCACAGCAGUUUUGUUACCAGCAAUUAGCCAGUAGGGUUUUCAGACUUCAAUAACAGUAUGAGAGCUGCGAAAACACUAUGCAAUGAAAGUUGCUAACAAGCAACUGUUAAGAAUUGAACUUUGUUCCAACCUCGAAAGGAAAAGAUAUCAGAAACUAUAAUACUCAACAACUGUUAUUUGCCUAUAUCUCUCUCUGCCCCUAACUCAAACAUACUUUCCAUUCAACUGAAGUUCAAACUCAAUAAAAGCCCAGAUUCCCAGGAAUACAGCUUAUUUUUAAAUGUGAGUAUUAUCCUCAGCUAUCUUUUCUCUGGAAAAGCUGUUUAAUCAGAUUCUUUCCUAGCUGGGGAUACAAUGUAUCUCUACAUGCCCCUUGGAAGAGAGCUUUUGGCUACAAACCUCAAUAGGCCACAAUUGUUUUCCAGCUUAGCUCCACUACAUGGAUAAUUUCCUAUUUCUUUUUUUUUCAAGUCCUUUUGCCCAGUAUCAAGUGAAAAAUGAGGCUCAUACAAGAAAUGAAAGCUGUAACUGGCCAAAUCCCAUGGUUUUUUCUUCAUGCGAGCAGUUGCACUUAUAGCCAGUUUGUCACACGCCAAAUAGUCUACUCACUUAAUAUAACUAAAAAGCAGUCACGAAACACAACUGCUCUUAAUAAAAAAGAAGACAUCCAUUUAGCUUGAUGAUUUCAUAAGGUUCAGAUUGAUGCUUUGACAGAAUUUGGUAAACAUUCAGGUACAAAUGAAAAAACCUAGACAGAAACCUGAUGUACUGCAGGUGAACAUUUAUUAUCUAGUACAAAGGCAUUACAUUUGCAAUCUUUUCCAUUACAACAGAAUGAUUAGCUUCAAUACUUCUGAGGUACAAAAUUAUCAAAAUUUGUUCAGUUGACAACAGAAAACUAGUCAGGCCAUUAUAGUUAGCACAUCUAGAAACAACUUUGGGGUUAGAACAUUCAAAGGUAGCAAAAAGCUAAACACAGAUCCACACAAAGCAAAGGAACUAAAAAGUUCUCUCACUGAGUAUGUCUGAGCUGCAACAGAGCAUAUACAUCCUAAAACAAGUUCAUAUACAUUGUCUCCAAAGUGGCACUAUUCUUUGCCUACCAACUGAAGCAAAUCUCCAACCAACAAAAGUAAGGUACAAAAGAAGGAUAUAAGCUUUAUCACAAAGAAGCACAUAAAUGAGCAAUGCAACACUCUUAACAGAUACAGAAAUUCACUAAGAAACUCAUAAACUUGAAUUAAACCACAUUCGAUUAGAGAAAACGUAAAUGACCACUUACAAAACUAAAACAAGAAAAAUCCUUGAUUAAUACUCCCUCCGUUCCAUUUCAUUGACACAGUCAUAUUUUCCUUUUAAGUUCUCCCAAAAUAUUUAUAACUUACAUAAAUUGGCAAACACAUUUGCAUUCAAUUCCUCCAUUUACCGUUCAAACACUCCCUAAAAGUCCAAUGCAUGUGUCUUUUCAUGAGCCCACAGAUUAUUACCAACGAAACUAAGACAACUUCUUUUGUAGUACGCGCUAGCUGGCAUUAAGAAACUAAAGCAAUUAAGUGUUCCGAUGCACGCGCUAGUUGGCAAUCACAUCUGCGAUUGGACAAACAUCUUGGCUCCACAAUUCUUUAUGUCUUAGUACAACACUUAAAGCUCUUCAUGGGGGUGAAACGAGAAACUACAGCAUCAAUUUUCAAAUUCUAUCCACUCUUCAUAAAAAUUACAGUUCCCGAAGUGCGAUAAAUUUUAUGGGAUGAAGACCAAAACUGUCAUUAAAUUGCCUAUCAUACGAGUCAUUAGCUCAUAAAUUGCAAGCACUUCAACCAAAAAUUACAUUUCUAUGCCAAAAACCCCAUUCAGAGAUAACCUUAAGCUGUCAAACAUAGAGAUUAUAAAUCCUAAAGACUGUCAAUUAAAAAAACUAAAGCAAACCCACUUAACAAAACCUAUCCAACAGUCACCCAAGAAAAAAAAUUUUAUUUACCUUCCCUAAGAUUAAACCAAAUAAAACUUGAAACCCAGAAAAAUGUCAAAAAGCCUCCAAAAAAUCCCAGGAAAAAUUAUCCAAAAUAGAAGUCAAAGAAAAAACUAAAAAAUAAUUACCUUUAGAUCAAGCAUUUGGCAGUUUGAGGAAUAGGCUGCGCCGCUGGGGAGCCGUGUUUUUGUUGGGCUUCGGCUUCCGGGAUCUUCUGCAUCCGUUCCAUGACAAGCUCGUACACUCUCUUCUUACCUGCUUGAUUGAUUAACAAAUUGAUAAGACCGAAACAAGUAAUCUAUGUGGAUAUGCCACUCAUAUUCUCUGCCUGAUCAAUUAUACAUGUAAACAAAAUUCACAGCUUGAGGUAAAGCAAAAAUCAAGAGUCGGCCUUGUUUGGAUUCCCAUUUCUUCCCAAAAAAUUUUACACUUUGCGAUAAUGCAUCUUUCAAUCACUUUUUUUACCUCAUAUCAUAUCGUUACAAUAUUUUUUUAACAGAAACUCCAGAAAAUAGUAUCCAGACGGGCUAUUUGCGAUCUCAAAAGCAGCAGUCAAAAUGACUGCUGCACUGCCCCACUCACAUCGGUUGAGCUGAAGGAACUACAAUUACACAGUCAAAAUGACUGAAGCUCUAAUAGAAAGGCCGCCAGAGUUGCUCCAAAUUAACCGGUCCAUAUCCGCUGCUAGUACAGCAAUGAUACUGAAAGAUGAAGUUGCAAUCUUGCUGCUGCUGCUAGUCUUCUCAUUGAAAUUAAUGUCUUAGUAUCCACAGAAUUUUCUCAAGUACCCCACAGCUUUCUCUUCACAGACUCGACCACAAUUACCAUGGUCCCCCCAGCUCUCUAUUGGACUCUUUUCUCAUGGCAGCCGGCUGCCAACCAGGGUGAUAGACUGAUAAACCCAAGAAUCUUUUUCUAUUUUGCUAACUUCCAAGAAAUAAUUUCAAGCAGAAAUUUGUCCCUUUCCUUACCUGCCUCCAAAAGAAAUUAUAGAAAUUACUCUUUGGAGUAUGGGAGUAUAGUAUAGUUUGAAUCAGUCUAAAGACUUGACUUUUCCGACUUGGCAAGUCCACGCAGGAGUUUACAGUGACGGAGCCAUCCUCACUUCAUUUUCCAAGGACCAAUAAUUCCUCCCACCUCAUCCUGCAAAUCCUACACCAGCUUUAAACCGAUCAUCUCCAUCGAUGUAGGAGUAAUCUGUGUGUUUUGGGGUACCCUCUUAAUUUUGCUCCAAUGUUUACUCCUCUUGUAUACCUUUCCUUUCUCUUCAAUCUCUUGUUCAUCAUCACUUCCAGCGAUACUCCACCUUACAGCCCCACAGAUUACAUCCUGAUCAACUGCGGAUCAUCCUCAAACGCAACCUCAGCCGAUGGCCGGAACUGGUACGGCGACGCCGGCUCAAAAUUCUCCCCUAACGACAUGGCGACUAUUUCUUCAGCUGUCACAGCCACCGAGCAAGACUCUUCGGUCUCCGGAGCCCCUUAUUUAACUGCCCGUAUCAUUCGUUCUAAUUUCUCCUAUACCUUCCCUGUCUCCCCCGGAAAAAAGUUCGUCCGCCUUUACUUCUACCCGGCCUCCUACUCCAGCGACUUCAACGCAACUGAAUCUUUCUUCGCUGUCUUGGCUAAUAACUACACCCUUCUGAGCAACUUUAGCGCAUUUUUAACAGUUUCUUUCGGUGGAUCCUCAUCUGCCUCCCUUGUUAAAGAAUUCAUCAUUAAUGUUCAGGCUAUGAACCAAUUCCUCAACGUUACCUUUUCGCCCUCUCCGAAGGCCUACGCGUUCAUUAAUGGAAUUGAAGUUGUUUCAACCCCGGACGGACUCUACAUGGGCAACCAUGAUAUGUCCAGUAAUCCCCUCAAAAACGUGAAUGAUCCCAACAUUCAGUUCGAGCUUGAUCAGAACGACACUGCCUUCGAAGCUCUUUACAGGCUUAACGUCGGAGGACAAGCUGUUACUGCGUUAGAUGAUAGUGGGAUGUUCCGAGGGUGGGAUAGCGAUGACAGCUUCACCUGGGGCGCAGAUGAAGGGAAUCCAUGGAGCAAUAAUAAAAUUGCUGUCAAGUACACUCCGCAAACCCCAAAUUACACUGCGCCAGCGAUAGUUUAUACUACCGCAAGGGCGAUGGGCAAGUUUAGCACCCGAUUCAACUUGAGCUGGACGUUCUCUGUUGAUUCUGGGUUUAAUUAUCUCCUGAGGUUGCAUUUUUGCGAGAUUGACCCUGAUUUGAUUACACAAGAGAACCAACGGGUGUUCAGGAUAUUCAUCAGUAACAAAACAGCUGAGGAAGAGGCUGAUAUUAUAAAUUGGACCGGCGGCCCCGGAAUCCCGGUUUUCAGAGACUACGUCGUGUUCGUUCCACACCCACCGGAUGGUCGCCCGAGCAAGCAAGGCUUGUUUCUUGCUCUGUACCCAAAUCUCGACGUCAAGCCGAAGUAUGCUGAUGCAAUCUUGAAUGGUUUAGAAUUGUUCAAAUUGAGCAACAGCGGCAGUCUUGCCGGGACCAAUCCUGAUCAGGCGGCGGAUCCCAAUUCCCCGAUGCCAAACAGCAAGUCACCGAAAAAGGGGAGAGGUGUAAAAUCUCCGGUACUUUUUCCUAUCGUGGGAGGGGUGGUCGGAGGGUCUGCCUUGGUUUUCAUCAUCGGUUUCUUGAUUUCCCGGCGGCUAAGGAGACGGGUAAAAGAUUUUGACCAGAAAAGUGCUUCAAAGUCAUCCGGGGUCCAACUUUCAACCAGGUCCAGGUCAUCAAAGACAACAAGUGCAUCGAGGUCUUCGUCACUGCCUCUAGAUCUUUGCCGAAGAUUUUCCCUGGAGGAGAUCAUCUUUGCUACGGCCAACUUCGAUGCUAAGUUUGUGAUCGGAACCGGAGGAUUCGGAAACGUGUACAAAGGGUACAUUGACAAUAGUCUAAUCACAGUUGCUAUUAAGCGAUUAAAUCCUUCGUCAAGUCAAGGGGUCCGCGAAUUUCGAACCGAGAUCGAGAUGCUGUCGAAUCUAAGGCAUCUUCAUCUGGUAUCCCUGAUAGGUUACUGUGACGAGAAGGGAGAGAUGAUCUUGGUUUAUGAUUACAUGGCCAAUGGCACCCUUCGCGACCACCUCUACAAAACAGAUAAUCCACCCCUCCCUUGGAAGCAACGGCUUCAGAUUUGCAUCGGCGCAGCCAGAGGGUUGCAUUAUCUCCACACCGGCGCCAAGCACAAUAUCAUCCACCGGGACGUCAAGUCAACCAACAUAUUACUGGACGAGAAAUGGGUGGCCAAGGUUUCUGAUUUCGGUCUGUCCAAGCUAGGCCCCAGCGGUGGAAUCCACAGCCAUGUCAGCACGCAGGUGAAGGGGAGUUUCGGCUACGUAGAUCCCGAGUAUUACAAGAGACAGCAGUUGACGGACAAGUCGGACGUGUACUCGUUCGGGGUGGUUUUGCUCGAAGUGCUGUGUGGGCGGGGAGCCAUUAUUCCCAACUUGCCCAAGGAGCAGGUGAAUUUGGCGGAGUGGGGCAAGAGGUAUUACGCUAAAGGGAUCAUCCAUCAAACUGUAGACCCUCACAUGAAGGGCGAGAUUGCUCCCGAGUGUUUGAGGAGUUUUGCUGAAACGGCGAUCAACUGUUUGAAAGAUCAGGGGAUUGAACGACCCGGAAUGAAUGAUGUAGUCUGGAGCCUCGAAUUCGCGUUGCAGCUUCAGGAGGCGGCUGAAAAUGAGAGAGGCUAAUUGAUUAGAAUAUAGGUGUAAAAAAGAAAAGUCAGAUACUUGCGGAUCUCACAGAGCCCAUGUAUAAAAUUAUGGGUACCGGGCUGUCUGAUAGAGCCCAUGUAUAAAACUAUGGGUACCGGACUGAGACAGCCCGACACCCGACAGAAACCCUUUUUUUUUUUAAACAUGUCAGUGUCAGCCCGGCACCUGACACAUUUUUUUUGAAAAAAGAUGUCAAGUGCCGGGCUACACCUGACAUCCAAUUGAGUGAAUUGCAAUUCAUCCAAUUGAGUCAAUUGCAAUUCACUUUAUUUGUUAAGCUAGUUGAUAAAUGCAAUUCACUUUAAUUAGUUUAGUGAAUUAAUUAGUUUAAUUAAUUGAGUGAAGUAAUUUUAAGAGAUUCGAUUAACUGUAUUUAAUUAAAGUGAUGGUUUUAUUUGUUACUAGGUAUUCUGCCCUGACGCUAUGCAUCAGGUAGGUUGGAUCCGGUAUUUUAUUAUAAUGAGUAUGAGUUUGAAAAAUUGGAGGGCGGAAAGAAUUAUUCAAUCGAACUUUAACGUCAAGUAUGUCUUGAAACUCACUGCAACAUCAAACAACAAAGAUCCAGUACAGAGGAGGGGAAAAAAGGAUAGCCCUCCAUCAUAAUAAAAGAACAAAGCCAUAAUUUUGUUCAAGGAAAGAGACCUUGGAUCUGCCCAGAAAGAAGUUUUAUCCAACUCAGGAACUAUAAGCGUCACAUUCAAAUGUCUGGCAAUUGCGACCAUGUCAUGUAUCUGUACCCCAAUAACAUAGAGGAAAAGUAUAGGUUAUCAAAAAUUGCUGUCAUAAGCCAGUUCAAACAUGCAAGCCACAUUAUUAAGAAUCUACUAAUCGCCGCCUGCAUUUGGUUAAGGCCUCCGUUGCAUGAAACCAUUAGAUAACCAUUGUUCUUGUAAACUCCUACAUCAAAAGGUGCAAAUUUCAAAUCUGAUUGUAGGUGGGGGAAAAUAGUAGUCAAAAUACCAAAUACAAUUCCAACAAGGGACAAAUUAAUGAUCCAUGCUUAUUCCAAAUAAAACAAACAACACAUUUAUGAUUAACCGCUGCAAAUAGAGAAUGCAGCAAAAUCCACUGAUGCAGUAAAACAACCUAAGAGGUUUGUUAUACCAAUUACUUCAUUUCAAAACAAAACAAAAGAUCAACAACCACCGCAAACUCUCAAUUCUACAAGUGCUUGGAGCAACCAAAUCUCUCAGGAACUUGCCGCAUGCUUCUCAACUUUUCAAUAAUCAACCAGCAGUCCAAGUCAGUCGUUUCAUCCAUCGGUGUGUGAAAUUAAACCCCACUUUCCUAAAUUCAAAGACCCUUAGAUUCUACAUUAUAAAGCACCCUGAACACCACAAAUACACCCACCUCAUAUCCACUAUCCUUUCCGCUUACAUUCACCAAAAUAUGAGCUUCUACUUCCCAUCUUUUAAAGCGAUCAACAUCAACCAUCAAAACAGCAAAUUCAUUACAGCGCCCAAAAAUAAAAAUCAAAGAGCAAAAACAGAAUCAAUCAAGUAGUAAUACUCAUUCUUGGGAGGAAGAACUCGAGCAGGGACAUCUUCAGGGGCAGAUUUAACAUCCAAAGCGGAAGCAGAACCAGUAACAGAAUCCUGAGAAAAGCAAGAUGGCCAUCCCUUCAAAAUUCUAGGACCAAAACUUUCACCCAAUGCCGUUAACUAAACCAAGCAAUUCCACAACAUCACAGAUGUAGUAGCCCUUAUCAUCCAUAGCUUCAUUUCGACCGUGAAACCAUGGAAUUUUUAAACUUCUCUACUCUACUAUGUUGAAUAAUAUUUCCACCUUUCAACCCCAUCACCCCACCUAAUCCUAACCCUAACCCUAGCCCCCUUAAACCCCAGUUCUUCCUCCUCCUCCAAACACUCUCCUCACUCUUCUCUUUCUCUAUUCUGCACAUAUCCCCCAUACAUCAAAAUUCCCCGCCUCCCCUUUUCUUCAAAAAAAUCAACAACUUCUCAUUAAAUUCUGCAGAAACUAUUACGUUUAAUCUAUGAAUGAAAAAAAAUCCCUGAUCUUAAUUUACAAUCUAAUAGAAAAUUCAAAAGGAAAACAAGGGAAGGAAAAAACACCGCCCGGAGAAAGCUAAGAAGAAGAAUGAGGAACGGGAAAGACACUGGUAAACAAGGCGAAGAAAAGAACGAGAAGAAACAAGACCGACAAAAGAAUAGGAAAAAGUAGUAGCUCUUCGCGGCCCAUUUUUUCGC
rnacentral:lncRNA from 1 species